UCGCCCCUCCCCCCGUUCGGGAGGCCCCGGGAGCCCCGCCCGCCGUCGUGCCCCGCGCACGGGCGGGGGGCGGCCCGCGGCGGCCCUCUCGAGCGAACAACGAACCCCGGCGCGGAACGCGCCAAGGAACCUCACAACGAAGCAACGCGCUCCCGUCGCCCCGGUCCCGAUCGGGCGCGUCGGGGGGUCGUCGUCGUUUCACCAAACACAAACGACUCUCGGCAACGGAUAUCUAGGCUCUCGCAUCGAUGAAGAACGUAGCAAAAUGCGGUGGGGGGGGGGGGGGGAUUGAAGCUCUUGAAACAAAGUAAAGGAAUCAUAGCAGCAAUUUACAUAGUAAAGGAAAUUGGGGACUCAACCAUAAAAAGUUAAUCACAUCCCAAAUUGAAAUUCAAAAAUCAACAAAGCAUUUCAUCUCAAUUUAGAAUUCAUCAUAAGAGAAAAAGUAAAGGGCUACAUCCAACAUAAUCUAGUGUUCAAUGCUGUUGUGGAGUCUUGGAUUGAGAAUGGAUGGAGAUAUAUGAGUAAAACAAAAAUGGAGGGUAUUAAGAAUCCUUUUAGGGUACUUUUGAAAUUUUUAAAAUGUUUUUUUAAAGAAACAUCUAUCAAGUACAAGUAUUUUGACCCAAAAAAAAAACACAUUGAAGGUGAAAAGCACUUUCUAGGUUCACUGCCAACAGCUCCAAAUGAUUCUUUGAUGCAUCAUUGCUUCUAUUGUGAAUCACUCUCUAAAAAGAUAACCAAUUGCAAUAUGCCUGUUUUGAAAUUAUUUUUGGUAAUUAAAUGAAUAUAUAAUAAUAAUAAUAAUAAUAAUAAAACUACUUAAAAAACAACAUUUAAAUUUAAAAAGAAAAAAAAAUUACCUUCUUACGUUACGCACUCCUAACCUUACAAGACAACUCCCAAACCCAUUCUUCAUGCUUCAUCUAAAAUUACAGAAUAAUAGGGGCAAGUAAAUUUCUAAUUUCCGAUAACAUUUCAACUUACCCACUAGCAUUCCUUGUGACCCAUUUACAGAUGAAUCUUGCUUUAAAUAAACAAUAACUACCAAAAAAGAAUUAAAAUCAAAGUACAACGAAGGUUUUCGGAAAGCUCAGAAUUGUUUUACAUAUAAAGAGAAUGGGAAAAAGGGGUUCAAGGUUUCCAUAAUUUCAUGGUGCUGUCUUCACUAUAUGUAGCAACCAGAUUCCUGUGGGGAUGAUGGGUUACGCCGAUUACAUCCUUUUCAUGCACCUGCCAGUGAAAAAAGAGGUAAAAGGGGGAAAAUAAAUAAAUGAAACCACCAAUACAAACGCAGUCCUAAUACUCAUGCCAGUUUAUUGAGACACUGCUUGUGAAGAACUUUGCUGAUUCUUGUGAUGUCAGAUACACCCAACUAAUGGCAAUCUCAAGGUGGUAUUAGUAAUAAAUACUGGCUUAAGCUUCCACUACCUAAUAGCUUACCUUCAUUAGAUGCUCUAAUUUACCCGAUUGGUAGCUGAAGCAGUAGAUAUUCCUACAUAUGAUCAACAGUUCAGUUAGCUAAUAGUAGAACCGACACCUGCAGUAAAUCCAGCAGAGACAAGAACAGGCACAUGGGAAUCAUAUACUAAAGUGACAUUUCAACAAGAAAUGGAAAAUCUUGUUGCAGCAACAGAGCAGAAUACCAUUUCAGCGGUUCUUAAUUACUUUUAAGUUUAGGUUCAAAAAAAAUUGAAGUUACAUUUUUCUCAGCACCAGUUACAAAUUCUUUAGGUACUAAUCACCAUGAUGCUACAAGCACCUGGUUUCGGGUUGAAGGUUCAUUUUCUUCCAAGAAAAAACUUGGCUAACUCACAACUGAACUAGAAAGUUUUGCAAGUGAGGGAAAAACUAGAACUUGAUGAUCGUGCUGGGGCAAUCCAGUUUCCAAGUUUAGCAGAAACUCCCCUCAGGAAGGAAGGGUUCUCCUUGGCAACUGGAGCAAUUGUUGGAAGCUUCUAGGGCCUUGACAAACCAAAAAUUUCUGAAGAGGUUGCAGAGGGGAAAAAUCACUUCCUCCCGCUAAAGAGAAGAAGGUGUCUUCAACUAAUUGAAACUUUUGAUGUUGGCAAAUGGAGGGUCAUUCUUAUUCCAGAAGGAGAUGGAUCCAUUGGGUUGUCAUCAGCAUGAGUCAGUUAACUGAAAGUUCUGAUGAAACCCAAUCAAAAGGACCAAGGGAAGCCAGCAGUUAUGUAUAAAAGUAUAGAGGAUGGAUUGAACAAUGGUUCUCUAAAAGUUGAACCUAAAUUUUAAAGGUUGAGAUUGAAGAAGGCAUCUUUGGUAGUUAAGCAAGAAUGCCCUGAAUGCGCAGCAGCUGGAGUUGGAGAGUGAACAUGUGGACAAAAGCUAAAAGAUGGUAGGGACUCAAAGUAGUGUCUUGAUUACCUGAUCCUAAAAAUGUUUUUUCUUUGUGCAAAAACCACAACCCUUGGGUACUGUUACCCAGAAAGGAGUUUCUCACACGGCUCUGUUGUAAGGCUAAGUCCCCUGUCAAUUCAUAUCCAGGCACUGGACCUUUUGGUGGGGCAGGGGCCACUAUAAGUAUAAAUUGAUACUAUUUGUAUCAGAAAACCCAAAACUUUGCAAAACCAUCAGAGGCUAGAAUGAGAAGUAGGCUACAGGAGGUGCCUUGGAGGUCAUUGCAAUGCUUUAGAAGUUGUGUCUUUCCUCCUCUAGUUGAUCUUUUCAUUUGUGUAGCUUCAGCUACUGGUAAUUCUCAAGAAGUAAUCUUGAACAUUACCAUAUAAAGUAUUUUUUCAUCAAUUAAGUCAGGUUCUGAGUAAGUAUUUUUUUCAUCAAUUAAGUUUGAUUCUGAAUAAAGUCACAAGGCCCACAGAAUUGUGAGUAAUAUGAAAUAACACAAACCAAUGCAGCUACUCCCAAUGUUGGUUUGCAGUGAAGUUUGUAUUUUAAACCUUGUGUAUACUAAUACCAUGAAAAUUUAAAAUCAUAUAAGAACUAAAAGCACAGGAAGAACCAAUUAAACAAAGAUAAAGUCAUCAAGCAAACCCAUUUUUAGGUUAUUAAACCCCCACCUUAUUAGAAGUGCUAUUGGAAAGAAGAAGAAAACAGCAAAAGCAAAGACCAGGAAAAAGUGAAGAGAGAGAAGAGAAAGGUAAAUAGAACUGUUCUAUUCAAAGAAGCAAGGCACAAAAAAUUCAGAUAGAAACAAGCCUAAAAUGGGUAUCCUUUUACGUGGAUGUGUAUUGCAAAAGGAGAACUAUGAAUAGCAGAAUUGGUUAUCGCAUGAGGUCAUAUACUCAUUUUUUUUUUUUUUUUUUUGAUAGGCAAGGUCAUAUACUCUUGUUAAUAAAUUUUAUAUGUGAUUAAAUGAUAGGAUUACUAUAAAGGCAAUUUCAGAUAAAAUAACUGAGGGUGAAACUGAUGAUGACAGCUCUGAGGGGAUAUAUUUAUAAGGCAAGCCCAUGGAAAUGACUAACUAAAAUUAUUAAUGCAAACACUAAUAAAUUUAGUAAUAAGAUAGUUUAAGGAUCAAAAGUUUGCCAGGUGGCACAUUGCCGCCAUAAACUGCCUACUUGAGAAUUGUUUAAAAAUUAUAUAUCCAAAACCAAUAAAACUAGAGCAUAGUUGUCUAAUGAUCUCAAACCUUUUUAAAAACUAUCACCAAAAACCAGCUUCAAAAGUGAAUGAGAAAAAGAGAAAUAAGAAAAAUAGCUAUAUAGUCAUUACUUAUUUAUUGCAAACAAGUAAAGAACUAGAUUUACUUAAUGGAAAUAGAUAAAAAGUAUGACAUUAAGAGCACAGCACUUCAUUUAAGCAAAUACCUGUCUUCACCAACACAAUAAAUCCAUUCUCCUUUGGGUGAGACACAGGCUGCAACAAAAUCUCCACCUUCUCUUUUACCAGAAGAGAAGCUCUUCACAACCUGCAUCACAAACAUUUUUUUUUUUUUUGAUAAGUAACCUGCAUCACAAACAUUUAGAAAUCACAACCAUUCUGAUCGUAGUUCCCCUUGGUUACGCACCUAUACACCUAACUAAAGCUUGCUUUGCUAACUGCUUACAUGUAAAACAAUAAUGAUUGGCUCAUGUUAUAUGCAUCCACAGAUCAUCUUUAUUAAUUAAAGGACGAUCAUCUGCAAAUCAUCAUAAAUGGAUGGGAUAAACCUAAAGAUCUUUACCGCCCACUGAUAGAUCACCAAUUUAGGGACUAUUACAACUCAUAAUCUGUAUAAAAAUUGGGUCAAUCCUGUAUUCAAUACUGUAUUGGCAGAGAACAAGGGAUUGCCAGUUUAGGUCCUCCAUUGCAACCCCUAAACAAUACUCCUACACAAAACCCUAGAGAUUACAAACGGAACCAGUGAUUAUUUGAUUGAUGUUCAGUCAGCUGUAUGACAUAUAAGCAAGAUUUCAUGUUAAAAAGGAUGUACAUAUAAAGUACAAGAUUUCAAUAAGGAUAGAAUUGUUUGAUUAAAGAAAGAUAUUGAACAUUUAAAAGCAACAAACACACGUGUGCCCAGACCCGUAUAGCAACUUGCUUACAGAAAGCAUGCAAGGAGCACUAAAUAACAAAAAAGAAAGAAAAAGAAAUACCAUGGGCAGUAGGAAGGCCUUAACCAAUCCCUAAUCUAUAGCUUCCUUCUCUAGAACCAAAUAAACAAAAAAGAAAGUAAAAAACAAAAACAAUACAAAAAAUCAAUCAAAACUGUAGCACUAAGAAGGCACGAAAAGAAAGAAAAAGGGUAAAACAAAAAAAAUGAAACAAAACAAAGAAAAACAAAGAACAGAAACAAACAAACCACACACAGUAAGAAGGCCUUGACCAAUCCCCAACUUUAGCUUGCUUACCCUCCUAUGGAUCCUAUAGCUAUGAAGAGAUUUGAGGAAAGAAAUUUAUGCCCUUCCUGUCCAAUGAGCUGCACAUCCCUCCACCAGGCCCUCACCAUGUCCUCUAACUUAGGAUGACAAAGCGAUAUGUUGUCUAAACAGAUGGGAACAAGGUCCUACUUAAUUGAAUUGCAGUCACGAAAAUAGAAAAUGGUUUGACAAAGGUUUAGGCAACAUCUGAAUUCUUGGAUCAUGUUGGAGAAUUCAGAUUCCCAUUUAUAGGAAAACAUGAAUCUAUCAAGUCUCUUAAAAGGGGCUCUGCUGCAAGUUACCCCAAGUAAGGGAUGUUUUUAAGGGCUGGAUCCACCAGCUCGCACUCCCUAAUUAAGUGGGAGAAAAAAAAAAACUCUCCCACUCAAAGUGGUACCAGCCUAUGACCUUCUGGUUAUUAAAAUGCAAUCCUGACAACAAUAAAGUUUCUACUCCCCUUAGCAACACCCAAUGGAUCCCAACUAAAAAAUUGUCUUUCAGCUCGGCUAGAAUCCCUUUCACAGGCUUAAGCUAUUCAACUAUACCAUUGAAAUUCAAAGUCCUCCCCACUAUCCACAUGAAACCUAAAGGAUCAUUCCACCACUGCACAAGCCUUCAACAGUACAGUGUCCCAAACUUGAACCUCUUCAUCCUGCUCUCCCACCAGCCCCGUAAAACAGAAAAUGGCUCAUCUGUAUUCCUAGCAUCCAGGAUACCCUCAUAAUUCCCCUAGAAAACAGCUCCAAUCUUAGGUUCUUGAAUCAAGAAAACAUUUGGGACUUGCAAGAAAAUCAUAGAUAGCUCUCCUCUUAUUGCUAGAACCAACCCUCAAAUACUCCAGCUGAUCAUCUUCAUCGAAACCACAUCAAUGAUUAGAUAGAGGACAGUGAUUAGAGAGAGCAAAAUGGUGAAGAAAGAAUUAUGUAGCCAACCCUAAGCCUCCUACUGUAGGAGAACUUCAAGAAAGUCACAGUAAGUCAUGCAAAAAUUCACAACUCUUACACAUGCACUUUAAUUCACAAAUCACAAUGUGAAGUUUCAGUUCUAUGAUGGUCUGCAAUGUUUAACAAUGAGAAAAGAGCCCUCAUCAGUUGGUUAUUUCCUAUUGUCUAUACAACAGACUAAAAUAACAAAUAGUGUGCUAUCUCACCCUAGUUUCCACAAAGAAAAAGAAUAAGUACCUGUCCUUGAAGUGUCAUAAGGUAUAUUGAUGAUGUCCUGUUACACACAAUAAUAUGGUCUGUAUUUUUGGGGAAAAGAUGAACGCCAUUUACAGAUGCGUCACCUCCCUAACAGUUCAAAAAGAAAAAGGUAGUAAUUAGUCAAGAAAUAAAUUAAAGCAGACCAGAUAUGCAAAGGAAUCCAAAUUAGUUAUAUUGCUCAAACCAAAGAGAGAUGCACUUUUUAAAUAAAAGAAGUACCCUUAAAUCCAUCAAAAAUAAAAAAUAAAAGAAGUACCCUUAAAGGAGGUGGUGGCUUAAAUGUCUGCAAACAGUCGGUUGUCUUCACAUCCCAGACCUAUAAUAAGGCAUAUGCAACCUGUUAUGGGCACAGGAGAAUGAAAUAGCCUAACCUAGUCUGUUGUCUUCACAUCCCAGGACAAGAUAAAUUUACCUUUACUGUGCAAUCACUGGAGGCAGUAACAACACGACCUCCGUCAUUUGUAAAUAUAGCAUCAUUCACAUAAGAUGAAUGGCCACGGAAUUCCUUUAACAGUUUCCCAGACUUCAGUCCAUGGAUUCUAAAUCAAACAUAGCAUAAGGUAAGUAACAUUUGAACAACCAAGGGGUCCUCUCCUAUUUCAUAAUCAAUAACAUCAAAAUUGAUAAAACUGCCUCACACCAUAGAAGCUCCACAAGAAAACCCCGACAAGAACUUUAUGUAAACCACAUGAGAAAAGGAACUAGACCAAAAUAUGAAUGAGACAAAUGCCAAAAUGUUGGCAUGUCAGAAUCACUACUCAACAAGUAAUUUUGACACACCACAUUAAGAAACACAAUGCAAAAGGAAAUUCCAUUAAUCAAAUAAAACCUUGCAGUGCUGUCAAAGGAUGCACUUAGUAUCUGACUUCCAUCUCGAGAGAAAACAAGACUUGUAACACCUUGGGAAUGUGCACGUUCAAGUCGGCGUAAGCAUUGACCAGUCCUUAUACGCCACACCUGAUACAUAUAGUUUGCAAAUAAAUCAUCUUCAAUUUUGAUGUCAAACUUCCAAUUUUGAAGCAAUACUCCAAUGUUUCACCAACAGUAUAAUGAAAGAGAAAAGUUGAUGCAAAUUAGAAGGAUGCAUAACACAAAAACAUUUACAAGGUUCAAGCCAAUGACAGGAAUCAGAUAAUAAAAACAAAAUUUGAAUGCAAGACCAAAUUUCUUAAAAUAGAAAGGCAUCAAAUAAAACAAAAAGGAAUAGAAAUAAUUGACCUCAUGUAACACUUUCCAUCCCUCCCUUUCAUGCUUUUAGCUAAAAUCCACCCAGCUGAAUUCCAUAUCUAAUUGGAAUGCAGGGAUAAUUCGGAAUCAGUUGAAAUUUUGGGUAACAUCAUUGCAAUAGCUGUUUAAUUGAGAAAUAUUGCAGUAUUGAUUAUAUUUCCCUUCAUUUUUUGUCAAAAUAACAUGGAGGCAGCAUUUUAUUGAAAACUCCUGAAUGCAUAAAAUGUUAGCCAAAUGCUUAUGUUAUACUUUAUGUAGCAUGGAAAAGAACAACAUCACAGAUAAAGAAAGCAAAGUCUGGAGAAGCAGGAUGAAGGCAACAUCAAAACUUAUUUUAAAAUUCAAGACUCAUCCAACAAGUCUCUGGUACCUGUCCAAGCACAUCGGAGAAGUGUUGCCAAACAGAGUACCAUCUCCAAAGUACACAUCUGUUUGGAACCAUCCAAUCCCUCAAAUGCUAUACAAUCGAAACUCAGAUUUUUUUUUUCCAUGAUAGAUUUUUUGUUUUUUUUUUUCUUUUGUUGCUGUUACCUGGAGGUAAAACUGGAAGCUCCCCCAUCCCCAUUCAACCCCUUGCCACUUGAGCCAAUCCCAAGGUCUGUGAUCAAUUUUCAGAAUCUUAUCAUUCAUCAGAUUCCAGAUACUGCUUUUACAAGAAAAUUAUAGAAGUUUUUCCCUUCUGUAGUUCAAAUGGCAAUAGUUUGGUGGGUACAUGGUCAUUCCAUCAAUACCACCUUCCAUCAAUUUGCCAUCACAACUUACAUUCUCCAUGCCGUGACUUCAUUAGUGGAUGGAACCUUUCAUUUUGGCUCACUAUAUAAAAGAACUGUAAGCCUUUCCUCUUUGCAUAGAUAUGUGCAUCAUCACCACUCAUCUAAAGAUCCUUUUAUACAUUUUCUUAAUGAGAUUCUAAACCAUAUACAAUGAGGACACAGAACAGGAUUUUGUUUGCAGCAAGGUUCUGAGGUGUCUGACACAGCAAAAGAAUACAAGGGGUGAAAAUAACAAUUACCUUGCUACAAAACUUCCUAAGAAACAUUUUGAUAAGUUCAAAUAAAAUAGAAUAUAGAGGGAGAUUGUAAAAGUUACAGCAUAUGAUUUAUUAAAAAUCCACCAUGGCAAGACACCCAAAAAUAGAAGAUAUGGAAUUAAAGGAACAAAUAGAAAUUUAACUUCAAACCAAUGUAUGAACAAUUAACAAUACUUUGAUUUUUCCAUCUUGUGAUCCAGAUGCAAGCAUCUCCGAAUCUCUGCUAAAAUCAACACAAAGGACAGCAUCAUCAUGCAUCAUAAAGGUUUCCUGUAAAAGUUCAUAGCAUGUCAGCAAAUUCAUAGGAGGCCUCUGCCAAAAAGAUAAAUUGCUAAAAGUUUCUUUGUGCUUUGUAGGAACCAAAAAUAGGAAAUAAUAUUCAUUACUGUGUCUUCCUCCAAUUAUUCUUGUCCUUGUAUUACCAUAAAUUUAAUCAGUUAUGUUUAGUAUGCCAGGCAGCCACCCACAAAUAUGUGGCAUUUAAACUAUUUUUCGAAGAAAACAAGCACUUGAGUAUUGAAAGAGCAAGUGUAAUCAACAAACAUCCCAUUGGCCAAAGACCAGACAGCAUUAUGUCUAUGUCAUUCUAUCUUUAAGCAUCUCAUUAGUGGUGACCUUCAUGAUCAUUAACUGAAGAGGAUAUUUCAGUCGUGAGGAAAGGAAUGUCAUUUUUCAAUGUAGGAAGAUUUGAAAGAAGGAUUAAGAAGUGCACAUGCCACUCCUACACAAGGACCAAGAUCACUCCCAGAAUAGAAUCAGUUAAGUAAAACUCAUCCUAAAGAAGGAGCAAAGAAGCCAAUUAACCAGUAUCCUGAUCAUUUUAAAGUUAUGAAGAAACCAAAACCAAAUAGAAGUGAUUAAAAUGACUCCAAAAAGUAGCCACAGGACUUGAGAUUCCGUAUAGACAAGGCAAAACAACUGGAAAAGAUUGAUCCACAACAAAAGAUCUUCCGGGAAGCAACUCUGAAGGUUUCUACUACUGGUAAUUGGGGUUCAAGUAGGAACCACCCUGAGGACAACAUCAAAGUUAACCUUGAUAGGUAGUCUUAGGAAAGCCACAAGAACUGGGUGUAGAAGGCAUUUGAGGACAUAGUAUUGAAAACUUUUUCUUGCACGACUUGUACAUUGAGAAAAUGCAAGAAAAAUAGGAGCUAUUCAAAUUGCUCCAAAAUGAUAGAUAAGUUACAAAUAUCGAUAAGAAUGUAUAACAAGUACAUUAAACAAUUAUUCUGCAGAGUUGCAUCGAAUGAGUUAAGAAUAACAAAAAGUAACAUUUAAGAAAUGGCUCCUAUCAUUGUAAAGAAGUUUCAUCACCAUAUGCAUCCAAGCACCUAUAUUAGAAUAUGGUAAUUAGUUUAAGGAAAAACCACUCACAUCAGCCUGAUACUGAAGAUCCUUCUUAAGUUUCCCACUUAUAUGGUCCCAAACCUGAAAGCACUCUAGAAGUCAGAGAGCAUCUGAGUUUCAUCAAAAAAUAAAUAAAUAAAUAACUAUAAAGAGAACGUUUUUUUUUUACGUUUUUUUUUUUUUUUUGAUAAGUAAAGUUUUUUAAUUUAUAUACCUCAAUAAAUCCAUCCACGGAGCAAGACACAAGAAACUGCCCAUCUGGAGAAAACCGAGCAUAUUCUGCAUGACUUUUUGUUCCAAACUGCAGUGUAACACCAGCACAACACAUGAGAUGAAAAGCAAAACAACUGAAGAACCCAAUAGCAUAAAGGAAAAACUAAACACCAACCAAAUAAUAGCUCAGAAGUUUCUUCAGAAACAUAUAAAUAAGAAUAAGAACUCAAAUGAAAAACUGCUGUGAUUUCCUUCUCCAACACUUCUACAAUUUCGAUGCUUUAAUUCCAUAAUACAGACAAAAUUUCAUCAAAAAUUAAUAUCACCCCAAGGUGUAAACAUUAUCUUUGGCAAUAAGUGAAGAACAAAAGUAUAUUCAAGGGUGAUAUGACAAUUCUGGCACACGAUGCAUCAAAAUGUAGCCACCCACAUACAAUUAAUAGAACACCAAGACAUGAUUCUUAUUUGGACCAUAAAUGUUGCUACAAGAAAAAAAAACAUGAAUCACUUUUUUUUUUUGAUAAGUAAGCACAGAAUUCAUUCAAAGAAGGCAAAAAAGCCCCAAAGUAUACAUGGCAGCUAAGGCCUUACAAGCAAAAAAGACCAAAAACUCACCACCCCUUAACUGGAGGCUAACCACUCCAGGAAUCCUAUAAGGGAAUGCGGCUCCUCACCCCUAUACAAUUUAGCCCAACCCCAAAUGUUACAUACAAACAUUUGAAAAGCUUUACAAAGAUUUUGAUAUGAAAAUGUCUGAUUAUUGUUCUGGAACAGGUUCUAAGUAGUUUAAGACCAACCAAGGACAUUAGACACAACUAUUUUAUGAUGGAAAGGUAAAACAUUACUACAACAGUUAUAAGCACUAUCAUCUAAGGAAACAUCUAAAACAACAAAUCAAGAAUCCAAUAGGCUGGCCAAGAGGAGCCAUUCCUUUUGUUGACUUUGUUGAGGAUCUUUGUGCCUCCUUGAGUUGAGUGUGGGGUUCAGGCCGAAGAUCUUCCCCUUUCUAAUCUUGUGUCUAUAUAUAUCUUUCUUUCCAAAGGACCUCCUAUCCUUCUUGUUAUCAUCUAUUAUUUAGUACAAUUACAGGUAUAAUUUUUCAUCUGAAUCAAUAAAUAACAAGAUAAAGAAAAUUUAAACACCAAUGGUCACUUCUGGCCAUUUGUUAGGCUAAGAGCAUAAAAGGAUAAGAACAUUGUCUGGGAGAUGAAACUUUAGUUUUCAUUUUUCUUUUUUCUUUCAAUAGGAAACAAUGCAUAUUGGGUUGCGCUCCCUCUUCCAUUCAGGCACUGUCCUAUAAAAUUCCAUUUGCUUGUCAAAAGAAAAAGGAAAAACACAAAACGAAAAAGAAAAGGCAAAACAUAAACUAAACAAAACAAAGAGAUGCACAAGUGAACCAGUUCCCCAGAUCUUAUUAUUAAAAAAUUUUCAGCACCCAAGAUCAGUAAUGCAACAACAGAUUCCAGAAAUAAAUAAAUAAAUAUUUUAUCUGGAAAAUGUGAAACAAAACAAACUACUGCAACCCUCCUGGCCUGAAAAAACUAAACAUUACCAGGACCAAGAAAGAUAUAUUACACCUUACCUUGAUGGUGUGCCCGAGAGUUGUUGGAUACAUAUCAUCUACAUCUUGUUUCAUAGCAGCUGUUCCUCGGAACAAGUCAAACUGUGUUCCUGGUGGAAGUAACCCUGAAAGAACAAAAGAAAAAUCUGUCAGGUGAAAAAGAAAACAACAACAAUGAAAGAAAAAUGUUUCAAAAGAUAUAAUCAAUACCAUAAGAGUGCCUAAGCAUCAAUUAAACAAUUGAUUUUCCAAGGCAUGAAAAGGCGGGCAAAGGUUAUGCAAUGAUAACAAUUUUUUAUUUGCCCAUCUAUUUCCAAUAAUAUGCAUUUCAGAAAAUAGAAAAUAUAUUUAAUGCAACUCCAGUUCUUGUACUCAACGAAGGAAACAAGAACUCAAGUGUAUUACAAAACAAAUAAAUAUAUAAGAUUUUGAAAGCACUUUAAGUAAACAAGUCACAUUCACAGCAUAAUGCAACAUUACAAUAAAAUGUUAACCUUGAUGUUGCUGCCACUUCAGAGCCUGACCAAUGAGAGCCAUUAAUCGUGAUGGAGGAACUACAGAAACUUCAGCAGCGAGGGCUGACAAAUGAAAGAGAGGAAAAAUCAUAAAGAAAAUAAAAGACAUGAAGUAUAACUACAAAUAUUAAAGAAAUCACAGUAUACAAUUAUAAAUGCAUUAUGCGUUGAUCAAUCCCAUUGCUCCCUGUAUAUUUAAGUGAGAUCCACAGGCCUUAUUGUGACUUCAAACCAACUGAUUUUUAGUGACAAUACCAACCAUUCUUUGAACACUUCAGACAAGAUAAGAAAGGAAUGACACACUACAUCACUAAGCCAAUACACCAGAGUUUAAAUAACAACUGCUGAAUCAGAGUGCCAAGGCUUGAUUUAAUAACAUGAGAAGAGGGCAGACCAUGCCAUCUGAAGGAGAAAGCUAGGGAAAUUUCAGUAAACACAUUAUUGAGAUUUUAAACUUGCUUUACGUCAUAAAUUUACUGAUGACCCAAAACAGGAUUAGUUACAUCCUUCUUAUUUCCAUAUCCAGCAUUGUGAACAUUUGAUAUUUAUGUGGUGCCAUGGUGAGCAUAAAGGUGAUCAAAUCAUUAGAUCACAUCAAUAACUUCUGCACCACUGGGAUAAACAUGGUAAAAUAAAUGUGAUCAGCCUAUUGUUUAUAUUAUAAUGAAAAACAUAUAAGCUAAAAGAAUUUGUCUAAAUUUUUCUAACAAAAGUUAUACAACUUGGAUGAAGAAGGUCAACAACAUAAUAUGUACUUUAGCUACAAAAUUUAUCUAAAUUUCACUACACUCUUAAAGAAGAUUAUUUACUCAGAAGCAGUAAUAUUUUUCAGAAGUAGAGAAGUUGAUUCUUAUAAGAGCACCUAGUGUGGUUUGUUGGCCUACUCUUAUCUCCCCUUUAUUUCCAUUGCUUUAUUGCUGAGAAGUUAGAGGAGUUACGAAGAAGUUUCCUUAAGGGAAAAUGGGAAGGGAAUUUAGACAGGCCUGAGUUAGUUGAGACAAGGUUUGGGAACCAAAGAAGAAGCAAGAGUUUAUGUCUAUGAGAGGUUCAAGGUUGGGUGUCAUCAAUAAAGUCUUCCAUUGAGAGCUUUGGAGAUUUGUAGAGGAGCUAAAGUCUGUGCAAAAAGUGGAGGCAAAAUAUGGAGAUGGAGAGUAAACUUGGAAGAUUAGGUUUGUAGAUAGUGUUUUCAGGGAAGAAGUAGGAAAGGAGUCAGAGAGCUUUCAAAGAGGGCAGACUGCAGAGCUUCAACAUUGAGCUUAAAGAGUCUCUCCUUGAGUCUUGGUUUCUGUUGUCUAUGGAUUCUUGAGGAGGAAGGAGUUUGUUACCUUAUGAUUUUGUUAGAUCAGGAGGUGUGGGAUGAGAUCAUUGUCUAGUGUUAGUUUGCUAAAUGAGGAAUCUACAAUGUAUACUACAAUAGAUAUUCAUAUGGUGUCCUUAUUGAACUAAAAGUUGUGGUUGAACUAGGAGUCUAUAAUAUGCAUGCACAAUGUCAUAGUCUUUGUUUUUUUAUAGGCAAACAGAAAAUAUAUUAAGCAGCAUCUAACAAUAAAGAGGCGCAGCCUAAGCACACAGGAUAACAUUAUAGUUAAUUAGACUAUUGAUUCAAUUAACACAACUAAUAUUGUUUAAUUUUAGAAUUUAUCUUGUGGAUUCUAUUCAAAGAAGAUGAUGGUAAUCUUUCCGGGUUUCUAGCAUGAAAUCUGAAUUAAAAAAUGGUUCAAUAGUGUGACUUUUCCCUUUAAGAGUCUCAGAAAAAUCUUGAAGUAGACUAUUAACAAAGUUAAAAUUCAAGUCAUAGGUUCAUUGCACAUAGAGUGGAUCUUUUGUUUUUUUAAGUUUUAAAAACAAAGAGGAAUAUCAUGCCUACAAUAACACAUAUCGCAGCCUUUUGUAGGGAACAUCGUGACUUUUUCCUUCAUUCAUAGGCUGUUAACUACACAUAUAAUUUCUAUUUGAGGCCUAUCAAAAUAAAAAAUAAAUAAAAAUUAAAAAGGAAAACAGAAAAAGAGAACAAAAAGGAAUUGAAAGGAAUGAAUAAAAACAAAGAAGAAAAUAAACACUAAUAAAAAGAGAGAAUAAAAACAGGUGCAGACUUCAGGGAUGAGGUGUUACAAGCAAGCAACAGUCCUACAGAUCUAAACAGAACAAAGUCCCUUUAACUUGAUUUUCUUUAAAUCUCUAGGAUUAAAGGAAGUAUAUCCAUCAUCACCAUCUGUUAUUCCUCAGCAGGGUAUACUUUUUCAUUGUCAUCAUCCAAUUCACUUUAGUUUUUGUAAUAUACAGUACCUUUCAUGGUCCAUGUCAAUAUUAUAAUACUUUAACUUCCUGGGGAGAUAACUUCAUUUUCAAUAGGAAAGACAUGAACCCAAAUUUUAACCAGCAACAUUCAUGCAUCAAUUAAAUGCAAUAGCAAUGUGAGAGGCAGAGGGGAAAACCUUGGGCAAUUUGAGCACGACGUUUCUCUUUUGUUGAAUCUUGAUAAGCCUGUCACAUGACACAGUGCACAGUUUUUUAGCACCAAGCACAAACUCAAUGAAGCAGAAACUAUAGCAUAGAUUUGAUAUGAUAAAAAAUAAUCAUCUCAACAAUAAUCAUUUUCAUCAAUUCUAAGGUUAACAAUGCUCUUACUGUGCAAUGGGGGUUCUGUACAGAAAAUAUAGAAGCCAAUGCAACCAACUUGCACAAGGAACCAUAAAAUUGAACAGUGGGCAGAUUCAGAAAUCUGAAAGAAAAUACAAAGGCAAUAAGAUCCUACAAGAGCAGUGAACAUAUACAAGCACAAAUUCCCUCCCUUGGAGUCAGGGGCAUGAUCUGACCAUGCAAGUGAAGUGCCAUGUUUAGUUCACCUCUAGUUUAAUGGCAUUAUGAAGAAAUAUACAGAAGUAAAAGGAAAUGCAACAUGAUGAUUUUUUUUUCUGUAGAUGAAAAGCCACAACCCAAAUGAAGAUUACUAAGUUAAACAAAGUAACCACCAAAGUGUAGCAUAAAUUUCUAUGCUACCGAAACUAUAUCCAUUACUACAUUUGCCAUGAAACCCGCUUUUAAUAGCCCAAUUUCUUUAUAAUAUUUUGACUAUUCAAACAAAUCUCACCAAGCCUAAUGGAUCCAAAAAAUCUGAGAGUCAGCUCAAUACUGAAAGAUAAAUACUUUCUAUUAAUAGGGCGAUGCUAUAGGGUUUUUUUUUUUUUUUUUUUCACUCUCUCUUGAUAGGUAAUAGGCAAUGCUACAGCAUCAUCUUAAGGUAUCAAUAAUUUGGGAUUUUUUUUAGCCAAAAACUAAAUAAAGUCCCUUUAUUUAGGGAACAAAACCUAGACAUAGAAUUCAGAUUGUAUUCAAGUUGGUGGUGAUUGAAGACUCAACUGGACAUCAAUAUAAUUAGGGAAGUUCAAAUUGAUCUGUUUAUUCCCAGAUCCAUAAAAUGAUCACAAUCACUCUCAUAUUUUGUCUGCGUCAGAGGAUCCAAGUUGUGAUUCAUAACCUCUACAUUGAAGGACACGGAAGAAAUAAGAUUGACCCUCUCUUCCAUUAGCCCUCUUCUCUUCAUAUGAGAAACUCUAGCAACUCAUCUAGAAGAAAGCCUUCAUCACACAAUGAUGAGACCUGAAAACUGAAUGAUUCAUCUUUAUUGCAAGUCCAACACCAAUUUCAUUACUCAAAAGUGUUCCAAACAAUUAUUAAUGUAUGCUUUUUCCUCCUCCAAACAAGAUGUAUUGGGCAUGGUCUCCUAUGCCAUUUACUCUUCCAAAUCCUUUGUUUGGUGCCCUCUCUACAAGCUAAAAGCAAAAUACUUUCCCUCAGAUUGUUAAAUCAGGAAGUCGAAGCAUUCACUUAGUAGGUAGGACAUAACAAGAUUAGUACUAAUGCUCUGUUCAAGAUUAGGAGGCUUUAUGAAGUCAUCAGCCACUGAUUAGUGUGUCCUGUGCAUGGAGAGCACAGAGUCAACUAACAAUAUUUUUCUCCACCAUAUUGCCCCAUUGCUCCAUUGCCUUGGGGUCAAUGGCAAAAGCAUUUUUUUGAGUGGCUUGUAUUACAUUGGUUGCCACAGAGAGUUUAUCAAAAAAAAACAUUGGUUGCCACAGAGAUAAAAUAUGUUGACUAUUUCCUGUCAGGUGUUAAGGAGGAACCUAAAGGAAGAAUGUUGAGGCAUGGGAACUUUUAACCACACUUUGGAUGAUUUGGCCUAGGAAGAACACCAGAAUCUUCAACAGAAAAGAGAACCAUUGACAACCCAAAGGGUAACAUCUAACACCUCAUUUCUCCUAAAAGGCUACCACUAAGGAAUUCUCUGGUGUUCUGGUUGCAUUGGAAAUCGAAUUGGCUUCCUCAUUGAAGAGGUGUGUAGUAAUCAGGGCUAUUUGGGCUUAGCUACCUUUUAGGUGCUGCACACUCAAUUUUGAUGGCUGUUCUCUAGGUCACCAUGUCAGAUGGAUUAGUCACUGGUUUGAGGACCAAGGGAUGGAUCAUUAAACCAUUCAAAAGGACUAUUAAUAAUGGGUCGGCUAAUGAGACAAAGAUUCUGCCUUAUUCGAAGACUUGAAAAGAACAACCACAGCAAGGGUCUUUAAACUUGUGCUAAAUGAGCAUUUGGCAACGUUAUACUCUGGCAUCACUAGGCAUAGAAGGUGCCCUGGUAUGGAUGAUAGCUGCAUUGUGGAUCUUCCAAGAGAAACCCAUUGAUCCUUCCUAGGAGCAGCUAACAAAAAGGUUGAGAGACUCACAAAUAGGGAGCUUAUUCCAUCAUCUUUGUUGGAGACUAUUUUCCUGAAUUUCUGCAAACUCUCCUUUGUCUUGGUUCUUCGUUUGAAGGGUAUUUUUAUACUAGGAGAUGUUGUACCGCCUAAAGAAGCCCCACCCUUCCAUGUCACUUUUCAAUUUUUAUUAGUAAUGUUUCUAUUUCCUAUAUGAAAAAAACGUGGCUACACAAAAGAACCCUAACUAGAUCAUUUUCCUCUCUCUCUCUCCCUCCCUCCCUCCCUCUCCCUUCUGUGUCACUUUUCAAUUUUUAUUAGUAAUGUUUCAAUUUUCUGUGUCCCUCCCUCUCCCUCCCUCCCUCCCUCCUCCCUCUCUCUCUCUCUCUCUCUCUAGGCAAACAAAAAUGUUAUUUACAGGAUCAAUCAGAAAAGGGUGCACCAAAGUACAUAGAACAUAUGCAAGAGUUGCCAAUCAGCGAUAAAAGGAGAAAGAAGCCAAAAAAAAGAAACAAAAUCACUCUCUCCCCAUUAUUUAGAACCGAUUAAUUAGAUCUAAAAUAGGGCAAUGUGAAUGCAAUAAGGUUAAAUUUAAAACUAGGAUAAAUUCCAGUCUCAGAAAACCACCCAGAGUCUCAAACUAGUCCAAGAUUAAAUAUAUUUACACUGCCAGAUUUGGUAAUGAACCAUAAUUGUACAAAUUAGAAGGUUUCUGAAGAGGCCGUGAACGUUCAAUAAUGAAUGAAACGGCGACUAUGCCAUUUCAAGAACAAAACCAGUCAACCAAAGAUUAUCAAAUGAUUUCAAGUACAGAAAUGAUUACCAUAUGUGGGAUAUUUUCUAAAAAGUUUAUAAUGCAUUGACUCGAUAACUACCAUCAAUGACAUCAAACAUACACAUCAUCCCACUGUAUUCAGAAACUCACUUAUGAAAAACAAUGGUAAAAUGGAAGAGUAGGUGUGAAGAAUGAUACAAUGUAUGAUUAAAACCAUCAUUCUAACCUCAUGUGGAUCAAAAUAAGUUCGAACAAGAAGAUGCUCAAGACGCAAGUAUCUUUCAGGCUGCUCUUGUUUCAUGACACCCAUUGCCUGAGUUUGUCUUAAAAUAGCACGUGCAGUAUCCAAUUCUCGCAGUUCAAUCAUUUCUAAAACAAUCUGCAAACAGAAAGACAACAAAACCUGAAAAAUGGAAAUAUCCAUGGAGGCAAAUGCAACAAUAGAGCAUCUAAAAUAUGAUAUUUGAUUCUGACUUGACAGUCCAAUAUUGAGGCCAAAACACAGACACAACACCAAGGGUCAAAACAAUCUAAAUUUUUAGCUGAGACGAAAUUGGCUUGACAAGCUUGAACAUAGAAUGAUAGUCAACUCAACCCAUCCUAGGACAGGAGCCAAGAGGGCCACUAGAUGAUAGUCAUAUCGUUCUCACAAGAUAUCGAUAGUGUGUGAGAUGGUAGUCAUUCUCCUCAUGAGAAAUCAAUAGUGCACACAUACAUGCAUGGAAGAGAGAGAGAGAGAGAGAGAGAGAGAGAGAGAGAGAACUACUUGAAACCAUUGUCAUAAAAGGAAAAGAGAAUUGGUCAUCAUUACCAUCCCAAUAAAAGUGAGAAAAGUAUUUGUUGAUGCUUAUAAUUAUUUUAUAAAUAAAAAAAUAAAAAAUAAAAAGAUCCAGAACUUCACAAUUUUUUUCCUUUCAAAUUGUAAAAUUGGAGCUUCUUUAUUGUUAUGCUCUGGAUGCACAUGACCUAGGGCGACCAGGAUACAUUCUCAAGAUUAACCUUUAUCAAGAAUCUCUCGGUUUCAAUGUCACCAGUAUGAGAUAAACCAAAGGAGAUGCCAUCGAUAAAUAAUGAUUGCACAACAAUCUCCUGCAGGUUCAAUACUAGCAGCUAACACCCCCAAGAACCCUCCCCCAAACAACCCACAACACCACAUGCUCCCCCACCCCACCCACCACAAAAAACCCCCUCCUUUCAUGUGUUAAGAUCCUCUGCCAAAUAGCUGCUCAUACAGAGAAAGCACAUAGUUUCUUCUCAGGGAAUUGAACCCUAAUCUCAACAAGCUUGUAGUAAGAUUUCAUUGCAAACCUUCCAUUUUUAGUCCUCUUCCAUAUCAUUUCAUCCUCACUUGCCCAAUCCACCUCCACUCUGUAAAUGUACUCCAAAGAGGAACCUUGGAUUCCAGCAGUUCCUUAUCUGUGCCCGCCUGACCAAUUUGUCAUCCUAGGAACUCUGUUAUAUGUUAUGCUGGAAAAUGUUUCCUUCAUAGUCCUCCACCAACAAUCCUAAUCUUCACCCUCUUUGCAUAUUCCCACUCUGUAACCUAUGAAUUUAGAGAAAUCUUCCCACCAACUCUUAAUUUGCUCCCAAAGGAACCCUACCUCUACCUCUUCAUGACUCCUGGCCACCACUGUCCUCCAUAAAUCCUCCAAAAAGUCAUCGAGCGAAUGAUUUUAUCAUGAAAAAAGAUGGCAAUAAAAAGAAAAUGAGAGGGUCAAUGAUUUGGUUGUAAUGGAGUACCAGCAAACAAAAAGUUGAAAUUAGAAAAACAACCACAAGACAAGCUUAAUCUUACAAAAAAAAGGGAAUAUUACACAAAAGAUUUGGUUGUAACAUGUUUGCACCCUGAACUACAAAAACAAACAAAAAGGCCUCUCAAAUUGUACAUGCAUAAAACUUCUUCCCCUCUUAUCAAUUUUCCAUUGAAAAACUAAUAUUUAAGCAUUUUUUUCAACUAUUUCGAUCCACUUUAGUGAUGAUUUUUCCCUUAUUUAAAAGAAGAAUGUUUUCAAAAGAUCAUGCUGAUGGGAGAAAGCCUUUUAAAGUUUAUUCAAGGAGGAAAGGGAAGACCUAAGUAAACUUUAAGUAGGAUUAAUAUUAAUUAGAAUUGAUUUAGGAUUGGUAUUUGUUGGAGUCUAAUUAAGAUUAGCUAGUUGAGUUAAGAAUUUGAGUCAUGAUAGGUUAUUAGAGUCCUAGUAGACUUUGAAUGUUAUAAUUAGAAUUAAAAUUAUAAUAGGUUAUUAGAAUCCUAGUAGACUUUGGAUUUCUUAAAGAAGUCUAUAAAUAGACUAAUCAAUGUAAAUCAAAGGGAUGAAUUUAUAUUAAUAAUAUUAUAUUUUCUUUCAUUGCAAGGUUGCAACCCUAAAUGGUGAGACUCCUAGAAGGCCUUAGUGAGACUCUAAGAUUCUCCAUCUUUUCUUCAUUGUUUCUUCUCUCCCUAUUUCUUAUCUUAUAAGUUUCUCUACCAUAAAAUUUAUUUGUUGUUCCUCUCCUUACACCCUAAAAAUAAAACCCUAGUCCACCUACCCUUGAGUGUAGGCAACCAUCCUAGGGUUGUCCUACAUCACAUGCCCAGCAACAUUGCAAUACCAAGGAGCAUUGCAAAGUUAAGAAAUUCAAAUUUGCCACUUGAUCCACUGAAAGCAACAGGAGACAGAAUUCACACACAAAUCAACUCCAUUAUGCAGGUAAAUGAUCAAAAUCGGAAGCACAAUUUCUGCAUUGAUUAAAAUUACCUAAACGAAAGAAAUGGCAAAAGAAGCCUCAUAUUUGAGAAUUGGUUUGAGAGAUUGAGAAAGAGGGUUAAAAAGUGUGGGUCCGAGAGCUUAAGAACAACUUUGUGAGAGCAAGAAGGAGCCAAUUUAAGAGAUUGAGAGAGAAAGUUGAUAAAGAGAGUAGAGGGAGUAGAGGGUUUAGAAUGAGUUUGAGAGAGAAAGAUUGGAUUGAAGAAAUUGAAAAAAAGAUAAUAUUGAGAAAUUGUAAAUUUGAUAGGUUUAGAAUAAGAUUUGGAGAUUGAGGAAGAGGAUUAUUAAUAAAAAAUGAAUAUGUAUAUGCAUAUACAUGUACAUAUACACAUAUCUUUGGAGCAUUAAGAAUAAGGAUUGAGAAAAAGAAUAAUGACUGGUAAUUUGAUAUUUUUGCUAAUUCCCUCAAAUAGCUCAAGAGGAUUUUUCUAUGUUUGAAUAGUUCAGGGGCCAAAGUGGACAACCCCACAAUGCAACAACCACCCAACUCCAUAGCUGAGGAUGAUUGGUGGACUACAUAAGCCUUAUAGCUGCAGUUGACGAUUUAACAAUGGAUUAGUAUUGUGCAAGGAUUAAAAUAUCGAAAAUCACAAAAAAAUUGGUCCUUGGAUUUUACAAAAAUAUCGGAAAUAUCGACAAAAACUUUGAAAAAUAUAUUGACAGGACUGGAAUUAAUCAAAACUUAUAGAAGUAUUAAAAAAUUUAAGAAAUAAUAAUAUACAUGUUAAAGUUGUUUUAAUGGGAAAAAAAUUACAUAAAUAUAUUUAAUAUAAAAAAAAAUGAUGAUGUACAUAAUUAUUUUUUUUGUUUAAAAAUGUUUUGACUUAUUUGUCAGUUUAUAUUUAUUUUUUUUUUUUGAUAGGCAAAAGCACAAAGAUAUAUUAGAGAAAGGGAGCUUGAAAGGCAACCCAGAGCAUACAGGGAGUAUACAAGAGACACCUAAAACAAGCAACAAAAACACAAGCACUCACCGACCCUCAACAAGAACCCAACCAACAGUCAGUUUAUAUUUAUAUAUCAUGUUUAAUUAUAAAAUUUCAUUAAGAAGGUUAUCGUAAUGUUUUUAUAUCAUCAAUAAUUAGUUAGAUAGAAUUUAAAAAUGAGAUAAUUAAAUUUAUUUGAAAUGAGAUAAUUAAAAUUAAUUAAUUUAUUAAGAAAAAUCUAUAUUUCUUUUUCUUUUCUUUGUUUUUUGGAAAGCUUUAGAAGACAUAAUUAGUAUAUAUUUAAUAUAUGUGAUAUAUUUUUAUUGAGGGCAGCCUGCCCUACUGGUGAGGGCCAGCUUUUGCAAGCACAAGGUCAUGGGUUCAAACCCCAGCCCUGUUUUUAAUUUUAAAUAUGGAAGGAGUGGUGCAGCGCAUGAGAGGAGUGUGCAAUGGUUCCACACAUGAGAGGAGUGCAGAGCGCCCAAAAACAGCAAUAAUGCCAAAAAAAUCAGAAAAACUCCAAAAUUCAGGAUAAAAAAUCCCAAAAUAUCAAUGAAAUUUGAUCCAACUGACUUUCCAUGGCCGAUUCCCCAUCAUUAGAGUUAAAAUGACAACUAUAUGCAUUCAAUAUUUCUCUUUAUGAUAAUACCAAAUUGUUCAAUGGUCAUUUCCAGGAAUUGUUCAAGGCUCACCAUACACCUAGACUCAUGGAGCUUAAGUGACUCAAUUAAGCCUUCUAACUCAAGAAUCAAAUACUGGCAUUAACUAUUCCUUCUUUUUCUUUUCUUUUUUUGGUAGCAUGUGGCCAUUGACUUCUUAAAAAAAUACUGGCAUUAAAAAUUUUGUUUCUGAUUAAUUUCUAAAAGAUUUUUUUUUUAAUUAAUUUCUGGAAGAUACAUUUUUUUUCUUGAAAUCAAGAUUCACAAAUGCUUUCCAAACAUGAUUUAUUUCCUCCUCCAAUCAAAUUUUCAAAUUAGUUUCUCAUUAUAGAGUAUCUCUAAAUCUAAUCUAAGACAAAGCUCAAGCAUACACACAAACACACAGAAUUAAAGAAUUUUAAGAGAAGAGAAUAUUAUUUCACCCUCCAAAUAUAUAUAUAUAUAUAUAUAUAUAUAUAUAUAUAUAUAUAUAUAUUUUAUAGACAAAAGCUUGUAUUAAGAUACGCCAAAAAAAAGGGGUGCACCCAACGUAUACAGGCAAUAUACACAAAAAACCAACCCAAGCAUCAGAAAAGAAAGAAAAGCCUAGAAAAGAGCAAGGCUAGCCACAAUAAAGAGCCUCCAAAAAAUUCAAAUAAGAAGGAAUUUCCAAAUCCAAAAACUGUUGGAACCACUCCACAAGGGAUCGGAUGAAAAGAUCCCUCAAACUUUGGUGUGAUAAUUCUUCAUCUUCAAAGGUCCUUUGGUUGCGAUCUCCCCAAAUACACCAAAAUAAACAAAUUGGAGCCAGUUGUCAAACUGCUCUUUUCUUCUUCCCUAGCCCCUUGAAUUUCCAUUCUAGGAGAAAAUUUCUCACUGAAACCGGGAACACCCAAACCAAACCAAAAGUUGUUAACAAUACUGUCCAAAGCUGUCUUGUCCUAUCACAAUGAAUCAAAAUAUGAUCAAUUGACUCUUCACUAUCUUUAUAAAGAUUACAUCUAUUAACCAUGGACCAUCCCCUCUUCAUCAAUGUGUUUACAGUUAAUAUCUUCCCCCAAACUGCUUCCCAAACAAAAAAACGAGUUCUAAGAGAAGCAUAAGAUCCCCAAAUCUCUUUAUCUGGGAAUAAUACAUUGUUCCCAGCCCUUAGAGAAUUAUAAUAAGACUUGACACUAUACUUUCCCCUCCCAUCAUAUAUGUCCAAAUAUAUAUACACACAGAAUUAAAGACUUUUAAGAAAAGAGGUUUGUGAGGCUCUAAUUCUAAGUCAAAAAUUUAGAGGAACAAAUUUCUUAAAAUUCUGCCAGGGAUCAGUUCUAAUAGACCCUUGGGGCUCACUUCCACCUGUAAGCCUAACCUAUUUUGACCUUCUAUUUCUUGUUUCCUUCAAUACACAUUUAAACAAAUUUAUCUGAAAUUUCAAAGUAUGUGAAGUAACUUUGUCAGACAUGAUACACCCAAGGAGUUAGGUAUGGAUUUUUGUCAUCCUAAUGUUCACGUGCUAUCAAAUCAUCUCUAACUUUCUCAAGUCACAAACUCUCCAACAUCUCCUAUUUUAGAGGCAUUGUCAUAUAGACUAUUGAAUUCCAUACCACAAACAUAAAAGGUCAUCAAACAAGCCAUCUAAAAACCCAUUUCAUUGUCCUGGACUCCUCUUUUUUCAACUCCAAACCAUUUUACCACAAAAAGGCAGAACCAUUUUACAAUUAAUUAAAUCUCAGCGGUUACAGUUAUGAAGAUCCCUCUUCUUGCAAUUAAGAAGAAAACUGAUGGAGGAGAACGAAAAAGGAGGAAGAAAAUUCUGAGUUGGGAUUGACUUAUAUCUCACUGAAACGGGCAAGAUCACCAACAGCUUUCUCAAUGUCUUUGUGUUUCCAGAUCCAUGAUAUCUUUGUUGAUAUGCAGAUCUUACAAUUUGCAAGAAAAUAUUAUAAAUAAAAGAGAUGGACCUAUAUACCAAAGUACACAAGACAUACCAAGGGUGUCAAAUGGCAUUGUCAUAAAAACGAGAAAAGCAAAUCACACUACUCCCUCUCUCAUCUAGAGCCCACCCAAAUCCACAUAAAAAAAAAAAUAAAGGCAUUGAGUCUUCUCCUAUGUACAAACACACCCACAACCUAAGUUGCACAAAAAUGUGUGUUUUAAGUGCUUGAAUUGUCUACUCUUUACUUUCAAACACCAUUUGAUUCCUCUCCUUCCAAAUCGCCAAAAAAAUGCAUAGGGGAGAGGCCCUCCAUACCAUCCAUUUCCUUCCCAUAAAAGAGCUAGGACAACUUAAGAGAGUUACCUUGACCGUAGAACAAAGGACUCAUGCAAUACCAAACAAAGAGAAUAUAAUUUACCAUAGAACCCUUACUCUGGCACGAUGAAAGAGAAUGUAAUCUAUUGAUUCCUUUUCACUUUUACAAAGAACACAUCUUUUCGCCAACAACCAUCCUCCCUUUUGAAGCCGAUCCUCAAUCAAUACUUUGCCCCAACUAGCUUCCCAAGCAAAAAAAGCCCAUUUUUUAAGAGAACCAUGAAUUCCAAAUGAUGGCCUCUAAAUAAGGAAUUGCAUGCCCCGACUCCAAGAUGGAAUAUAAAGAUAUGAUGGAGAAGACCCUAUUCCUGGAAUCCAUCCAUACCACUCUUAUCAUUCAAUUCCCUGCUCACUAGCAUCCCUUGAAGCCUCUAGAAAAAAGCAUUCACAUCAUCUAGCUCCCAAUCAUUUAAGUGUCUACAGAAACCCAAUGGCCUCCCUCACUCUAAUCCUCCCACACAUCCUCCACCCAAACCUCCUUUGAGGAAGCUAAAACAAACAAGGAGCAGAAAGCCAUAUAUGUGUAUAUCAUCAAGUACAAGUUAGUAAAGUUUUCAAAAACAAAAUUAUAUGGAAAAGAACCAUGAAAACUACGAAUGAAUCAUAAAGAAAGUAAUACGACAAUACGAACAAUCUUAUUUUUGUUAAAUAUGCACCAUCUACCUGCUCAUACAAAUCCUCCAGUUUCUUCCUGGGAAGCUUAAGUUGUGCUACUUGAGGCAAUAUUGCAUCCCACCUUCCACUAUUAAUAUCAGCAAUAAAUGUCUCGAGGCUGUCGACCGUAUUCAAAGAUACCUGACACUCACUUUGUAAUGUCUGAAACGUUUGGUGCAAGGAAUUUUCUUUACAAAACUGAAGCACGAUCUUAAUGACACUGAAAGAUGAAGAAAUACAUAAAAUUAGAUUUACUUCACAUCAAAACACUAUAAAGUAUUAGACAGCUGAAGAUAUAGGAAGAAUACAUAUAAACAACCAGCAUUUCACAUGACAAGUUUUAACCCGCUGUUUGGUUGCCGAGAACAUUUAGAAAAAGAGAAGAGACAAAAAUGCUGAAUUUUCAAAAUUUACAUAUCCGCACUGAAAUGGUAAGCAAAACAGCAAAAAAAAAUUAAAAUAAAAAUGAAAUUAAAAAUAAAACGAGCUCAAACUUCAUUUUCCAUUUUCCUUUUCCUGAGUUUUCUCGGCGUCCAAACAGAGGGUUUAACUGAAAUGAGCAAAGAUUAAAGAGAAUAGAGACGGUAGUAGAGGUAGAUGAAAGAGAAAACUUACUCUCGAGCUUCGAUUUCUAAGGUCGAUGACAUUGUCGCAAACAGUUGUAGCAGAGCGAUGAGAGAGAGAGCGAAAACUAGGGUUUAUGUUGAAAUUGGCGGGUCACGUGCGUGGAGCGUGAUAAUUUUCUCAUGGUUACUUUAUUUGUUUUCACUUCUAUUUUUUUAUUUUUGUUUUUGAAGUUAAGAGCUUUAAAAAAAAUAAUAUUAAAUAAUCCCUUUUUAUUUUUAUUUUCAAAAUUUGUCAAAUAUUUAAAAAUUAAAAAUAUAAAAGGUUAAUUUCUCAAAUGUAUUUAAGCGGGUUUUUUUAAUAUAAUAUUGAACAUCUUACUAUUAUGUUUGCUAUUCUAAAAAACAAGAAAAAAAUUAUAUUUAGUAUUAUUUUAAUAAAAAAUAAAAGUGAAUAAAUUAUAUUUGUUAACUUGAUUUUAAAUAAUAAUAAUAAUAUUAUUAUUAUUAUUUUAUUACUAGUUUAUAUAAAUAGUAGGGAGUUUAAACAUGAUUGGAGACUCGAACAAAUAAAAACCUAAAUUUAAUUAAAUUUUUAAAACAUAUUAAUAACUAUUGAUUUAAAAAUACUACGAAUUAAAAUCUAGUGAUAAGUUAUAUUUUAUAAAAUAUAAUAACUCGUAUAAGAAGUAUGAAUUUACUUUAUGUUGGUGUGUUGGUGCACAUGGAUGCCUUAUCUUGGUUAUUAGAGUUGGGCUUUGAAGUGGUAUGCUAAUUUGAAUGGUUACGUAUUGAACAAGAUGUAUGCAAAACAUGUCUAUUGUUAUUUGAGUGACAUGUGUUCUUCUAAUUACUAUCUUGUAAGAGUUUUUCACCUUGAGGGGUACUUAGGCUAAUGCAUGGGUUAGUGAUCACUUUAAGUCACAUAUGAGUAAGACCCACAUGGAGGUUAUAUAUUCUCGUGAUUUUCAAUGGUUGUUAACUCAACAUGUAGUUUGUGUAUACCCAAAAUAGACACCAUGAUAUCCUGCUAAGGAGACAAUAUAUCCCCUUUGAGUAAUUCUAAGAUACACAGUCAAGGUGAAUUCUUGGCUAGAGUAAUUUCAAUUGAUUAUUGAAAUUAUUGUUUUAUUCUUUUAGGAUAUGGUAACAUCAGUUUACUAUGACAAAGGUGAAUUUGCAACUUGAAGGUUAAAGAUAUAAUUUAUUAGUGGAUAGCAGAUACUAAUUAAAUCACAAGCAAAACAAACAAAUACAAGGAUUAGUAGGUCAUGGGACAACUAUUAUCUUUAGCAAUUAGAUGUGAUUAGUGGAGUGCGGCUAGUUAACUUCAAUUAAGUGAUAGAUUACUAUGAAAUUAUGUUUGAUUAAUUUUAUGAGAGUCGGAAUUAGAUGUUGCAUUAGUUCCCAAUCAAUCUACCUAUUGGGAAUCAUAUAACAAGUAUUUCAUGGGUGGCAUAGAACUCAUCUACCCCAUGCUCUUCCACCUGAUCUCUCCCUUCGUGAAUGUUUGGCAUAAGAAAAGAGUGGACUUCUCUUCCUUUCCUCUUGAUGGUGGUUAGAGUUUCCCUCUUUAGAAUUUUAAACAAACUGAACUGGAAGAUUGAAGCACUAACCCCUAAGGGGGUUUAUAUAUGCUUCCAUAUGGGCUUAAGUCAUAUAAUUCAGCCUACUUGUGCUAAAUUUAAUUAGUUAGCCUUAAUGGACUCCAAUUAAUUAAUUAUCUCAUUCCAAAAUUUCAAUUCAUAAGAUCUAGUACAACCUUACAUUUUUACCAAAAUACCCUUACGCAUACUUUUGUAUUACAUACCCAAAAUACCCUUAAAAUAUGUGUCACCAUGAGUUAUGAGCUCAAGUGAUGACUAUUAUGACCCAUAGGAAAAUACUGACUUUCUUAUAAUCUAAUUUUGAAGUUGGCUCAACACUUCAUUAAAAAGAGUCAAUUGCACUCCAAUAUCAUAUGAAAUUACAACAAGACAAAAUCCGAGUUUGUGACCUACUAUUCACUGUAUACAAACUCCCCAUGAACUAAUAUUUGUAAUCUAAUAUACUGUGUCAUUUCUAGUUUUUCAUCUAGAAUGAAUAGACAUCUAGAUUUUAAUUGUUGACAAUGUCCCUAUAUCAUUCCCAAUGAGUAGAUCGUCAUAUACAAAUAAGAUCUUAGAGCACCAACAUGCUUAUUUGCGACUUCUUGUACACACAAGGCCCCUUGCUAUGAAAAACAUCUAGUUCUUGUAUCUUAUAAAUGAGAUGCACUGCAAUGGAUAGGAGCACUAUGAUGGAUUUGAAUAUGACUAUUGUUGAAAUUUUUUUCCAUAAUUAAAACAAUGUUUUGCAGUUUGAACUAUAACUUUUAGUUACAAAUUAACCACAUAAAACUCAAACUUUCCAUCCACUCCUAUGUUCCUCUUAUAUACUAACUUACACCUAAGGGUUUUAUCCCUUUAGAUGCUUUUAUAAGAACCCAAACUAUGUUAGAAUAUAAAUAUUCUAAUUAUCCCUUCAUAGCCUCUUGCCAAGAACGAGCACUAGGAUUGCUCAUUUCUUCAUCAUAAUCCACGGGAAAUAAACCUCUCACCAUGAUAAGUCACUUGUGUAUUAAAACUAUCAAGAAUGGUAUAUCUUUAUACUCCUUAAUGCAUAGUAUUUUGUGUAAUGUGAAACUAUCUUCUAGUGUUCUCUAAUGUAUAUCACUCCUUGCAACAUUCCUUAUCAUAUAGUCUUCAUCAGAAAUUUGACAUUUGUAUUAACAUACACCUUGAUCCUAACUAUAAAGGUAACAACUCCAAAAGCCCCUUGAAUAUCUUAUAAACGAAUAUACCUUUUAGGUAAAGAAGGUAUAACACAAUCUUAUGCCCAAAAGAAUUUGGGAAAAUAUGAGAAACUUGUCAUCAAUCUCACUAUGUCUAUUAAAGUUUGAUUUAUUCUUUCUUCCAUUCCAUUUUGUGAUGAAGUCCUUGAUGCACAUAAUUGAGAUAUAAUCUUAUGCUUCAUAAGAAAAAAAAUUAAACUUACUAGGCAUACCAUCUUGAUUUAAUUAAAGUGUCUUGGUAUGUGUACCUAAUUAGUUAUCCAAUUUGACCUUAAAUUCCUAUGCACAAAUCCAAACCUAGAGUAUUCAUCAAUAAAAGCGAUGAAGUAUCCAUACACUCUUUACGCAUAAACAUUAAAAGUUUUAUACACGUCAGUAUGCAUUAACUCUAAAUCUUUCAUGACUUUUUAUCAUUUAAAAUAAAUGGUCUACUAGUCAUUUUACUAUUUAUACAAGAUUUGUAGACUAGAAGAUCCCCUAGAAUCAAAGAGUGCAAACUUAACCAAUCUUUAGAUAUUGUUUAUAUUAACAUCACCUAAGACCAAUCUUUGGAUACUAUUGAGAUUAACAUCACCUAAGUAAUAAAAGCCACAUGUUUGAUUACUACUAGGUUCAUUCGUGAGCUUAGACAAUUCUCAUUACUUAACAAAGUGAUAAUGGAGUUACACAAAAAAAAAAAAAAAAAUUACCUCUCAUUAGCCUGCACAACUAGUCUCGCAAUUGAAGCUAAGGUAAAUACAAUCCAUCAUAUAAACUUCUCAUUUGUUAAAAACCUUAUAAAGACUUAUAAACAGUGGGCCUGAAAUCUAUCCACUAUAAUUUGUGAAAUCCAUCACUACACAAUCAACCAUGAGAAAAUGAUGUAUACUUUCCCUUUCCUUUAGGUAAUCCGAGCAUUUAUUUUUCUAGUGUCCUAAAAGAUCACAAAGAAAUUGUUUGCCACAAAUAUUAUUCAUCGCUAAAAGUUAUUUUUAUCAACAAAUUUUUUUAUUCGUUGGUAAAACUUUUUAGUGACAUAUUUGUUGCAACAAUCUUGCGAAAAAUGUUUUUUGUAGCAAAAACAUAUUUGCCACGAAAAUCCUAACUUUUUGCCACAAAAACAUUUGUUGUGAAACAUCAUAUUUGUUGUAGUAAAAAAGAUUGGUGUAUCAAAUGUGGUAUUAAACGGAUCAAAAGACCAAGUGUUUCAUACUUGGAUAUUUGGAUAAUGUUUUGCAAUGGCAACACAUAUCUAUGACCAAGGACUUUAAUAUUUUCCUUUUAGUUUACAAAGGUUAUUCAAUGAUAAAGACAUAUCAACUUAAACAAGUUGUCUUUAAGAUUGUUAUGUAUGAUCUUAAAGACCUAACAAGUUUCCUCUGAGAUGGUUAAGGAGAUUAUUAAAGAUCAUAAAAGUGUUCAUAUGAGAGUUAAGAGUUCUUCAAGCUCUUCUAUUAAGAAGAAGAAGAACAACACCAAAUAAAAAAAGUUUAGAAGGAAGAAGAAAUCUUGAGAGUAUCUUAUCCAAAAAAUGAACUUUAGCUUCUCAUGUUAAAAAAUCCUCAUAACAUUUACUUUCUUUAUUUCUUACACCUUACACAUUUCCAACUUAAUAAAAAUUAUCCUAGAAUUUAAUUUUCACAAUAAUUUAUUUCAUUAAAAUUACCAAAAACAUAACUUUUUAUUAAUUCCUUAAUAGAGAAAAUAUUCUCUAUAAAAAACUUUCAAAAAUUUCUAUUUCCUUUAAAUAAUAAUAAUAAUAAUAAUAAACAAUCCAUUUUGGAAAGUGUUUUUAAAAUAUUUUAUUCCUCCGUUAAAUUACCAAAACCUCUAAAGCUAUUUGGUAAUCUUUCUUAUAAAAAAUUUAUUUAUUUCUUAAAUUGGAAGGGAGGGGGGGAACCUAAAGGACAUGGUACUAUCCUCAUUUUUUUAGGAAAGACCCUAGAGAACCACCAAAUGUGUCAUUUUCCUUUUCUAAAAUAUGGAGAACUUGGAGAGCCACCUAUUCAAAAAAUGAUAUUUUUAAAAAGAAUAACAAUCUAUCAAGCAACAACCAAUUUAAAUAAAUAACAUUGCAAAAAACUUCUCAUAAAAAUUUACUUUUAGGAAUACUAAAAUACAUUUUUUUAAGGACAUAUAAGCAAUAUAAUAAUAAAUAAAAAAACAUAUAAUAAAAACAAGAAAACAAUUAAACAAUUAAACAAAUACUUCUCAUAGUAUUUAGGGAUCUUGUUGCAUAAUUGGUAAUAAAUUUGGAUAAAAUCCAAAUAACCAAUAUUACCAAAAUACCUACAACCAAAAAUAGGGUUAGAAAAUAAAAAAAUAACCCUAUAAUCUUACCUUUAUUGCCAAACAACAGUCACCAACACUUAAAUGCCUAAAAUUCUAAAGAGGGCGUUGGAUACCGCUUGAAACACUAGAAGGAGUGCUCGAUCGCUUGAGCAGCUUAAGCACUAAUCCAGGCACUCAAGCGCUCAACGCUAUCACUCAAGCGUUAAUUUAAGUACUCAAGCACCAUAUCCCAUAAAUGUGCACCUAAUGCUGCUUCUUCACUCUUUUUGGCCAUCAUUUUAUUAAAAAAACUCACCUUUGCAUAUGAGUUUCUCCACCAAGUUUGAACUCUUGGAUUCAAUCUUCUUUUUCUUAGGUUACAAAGAUAGAUAAAAAUUCAAUUUUUACAAUGAACAAAAAUCAUAUGCUCCAUUAAAACCAAACUUACAAUCCAUCAAUGAACAAAAACAAUUUUUGCAUACAAAUAUAAAAAUCCUAUGCUCCUAAACACAAAGCUUACAAUUCAAUCUAGAUGAAGGAAAAAUAAAUACCAUACUAAUCCAUAUCCAUUCACGAGAACAAAUUAAACACUCAUUCAUACAUCCCUUUAGGCCAUGGGAUGUAAAAAUAAAAAUUAAAAUAAAAAAACAUACAAAACAUAUGUGAGCAAAUCCUAUAAUAGAUCUAACAUGCAAGAUUCUAACUUAGGUAUUUGAUACCAGUUGCUAGGAACCCCGAAUUGCUUUGUUUGCAAGCCUUGAAUCAAGUAAGAUGCAUGCAUCUAUCAUAAGUUUCUCUAAAUCUAACACAACAAAAACAUAUAACAUUAAAAACCAUCACAAAAUAAAUAUAUAGAUAUUAAAAACAAAGUUACAAUCUAUAUGUUCUUAGAUCAAAUCCCAUUUAUUAGAAAAAAUUGGGUUAAUUUAACCUAAGGUAAUCAUCCUAGAGGCGGGUGAAUAGGGUGAUAGUUUUUUUUUUUGAAAAUUUAAUUUAUGUGAAUGUAAAGGACAAUUAUAUGCAAAUAUAUAAUAAAACAAUAUAAAGACAAUUGCAUAUGAAGUAAAAGAGUAUGAAAGAGAAAAUGUAAACACAAGAUUUUUAUAGUGGUUUGGCACAACCUGACUUACAUCCAUUCUCUUCUAGCUUAAAUCUCAAACUUGAGAUUCUACUAAUUCAAGGUUUCCAAAUCAAGCUUUCAAGCAAUACAAUUAGAUUAUGAUUUUAAUCCAUCCUUUUGGACUUUAGGCUCUAAGCACUCUUUACAAUCUUUAAGAGAUACCUCACUCUUGAAUAACUCCUCAAAUGAUACCCUACACUUGAGAAUUCCUAAGUGAUGUCUCACACUUAAACUUUUCUUCUCAAAGAUUUAUAAAUGAAGAUAAUAAAUAAUCUCACAAAAUCCUAAUACAAAACUUUAGGCUCAAAUGAUGCAAGAAAACUGGGAUUGAAUAGUGUACUAAGGAUAUGCGAGUUUUAGAACAAUGGUGCACUAAGAAAACACUCUCCCAAGACUAAAAAAUAUUCAAUAAAUGUUUAGGAAAGUUAAGUUAUUGAAACAAUGAAGAUUAAAGCCUUUAUAUAAACGUAAAAGGCCAAACUAGUUGUUGGCCUUUCGUCCAGUCGAGCUUCAAUUUGAUCAGUUCACUAGUCGUUAGCAUUUAAUGCAUAACAAAUGACCGUUAGACCUUGAUCGUCCCUCAACUAGACCUAGAUCGGUUGAGGUUCAAUCAUUGACCAAUUGAACAAACAUUAUGGCAGGAAUAGAAAGUUUUUGCACCUUUCCCCGUUGAACUAAAUAGGUUAACCCGUUCCUCAUCCGGUUCCACCGGUUGAGCCGUUUUUGGCUCAACAAUCAUCAUUUUCAACUUAAAAACCUUUUAAACAUGAUUGGAAAACAUUUGACACAAGGUUUUAGUUGAAAACAUGAAAUCAUCAAAUUUUAAAAGAUUUAAAACAAAAUAACUAUUGGAUUAUUUUGGUGCAUAAAUAAAAAAAUGUAAUGCAUGAAAAACUUAGUGCACCAACAACUUUACAAAGCAAUCCUAUGAAGCUUAGGUCUUGAAAAAUAUUUCUCUUUGAGGUUUUCUUCUUCUUAUUGAUUUCCUUUUGACUUGAUUUUAACUUUUUGAUUCCCACUUUGGAAAUCUUAUUGACUAAUCACACUUGGAAAUAUAAUCAUUAGUUCCAAACCUUGUUUUGUUAUCAUCAAAACUGAGAUUAACCAAACCUUGGUUUCACACUAUUUGAUGAAGAUGUUGUGAACAUCAUCUACCCUGUGCUCUUUUACUUGACCACUUUCUCAAUAAAUGUUUAACAUGAAAGAAUGGUGGGUUUCUCUUUCUCUCUCUCCUCAAGGGUGGCUAGGAUUCUUUUUUCUGGAAUUUCAAAAAAACUGAACUAGAAAACUAAAACUCUAACCCCUUAGGAAUUUAUAUAGGCUUCUUUGUAAACUUAAGUAACCGAAGCCCAAAUUGGGUUUGAGUGACCGAAUCCAAUCCACUUUGGUCAAAAUUAAUUAAUUAGCCAUAACAAGAUCCAUUUAAUUAAUUAGCUUAUUCUAAAAAGUUAAUUCAUAUGAUCUAUGCAACCUAUAGUUUUUUUUUUAAAUACAAAAAAUGACCUUUUUGCACACUAAUGUAUUUCAUACACAAGAUAUUGUCAAAACAUGUAUCACCAUGAACUAGGAGCUCGAGCGGAGAUUAUUAGGACCAUAUAGGAAAAUACUAACUCCCUUAGAAUCCAAUUCUAAGGUUGACUCAACACUCUAGUAAAGAUAAUCAAUUGCACUCCAAUAUCCUAUGAAAUUAUAAUAAGGCAAAGUUCGGGUCCAUGAUGUACUAUUCAUUGUAUGCAAACUCCUUAUGAAUUAGUGUUCUUAAUCUAAUAGGGUAGUGUUAUCAAUCCAUCAAUAUUACUUUUCUAAUCUUUGAGUUACAAAUCCACCUAUUAUGAGAUCAAUUGAUACACUCUAGCUAAAAGAAUCAUAUGCCAAAUUUCACUAAAUAAAUUAUUGUGACCACAAAUUUCAUGAUUAUAUGGCCUUUGGAUCACCCAAAGGGACACGUUGUCUCAAUUUUAUAAGAUAUCAUCAUGUCUUUAUUAAGAAUACCCGUUGUCAUUAGCCUUUAUCAAUAGUGACCUAAUCGGAAGGGAUAUAUGACUUUAAUAAAGUCUCACUCAUAGGUCAAAACCGUUUUUUUAUUUCAACACAAACUCAACAUCCUCUCAACUUUGAGAAUUCAUGCAACAUAAUAGAUCAGUGAAUUAUAACAAUUUGAUAGCCUUAUAUAAUGAUUCACCAUGGGUUUUGUUUAAUUUGUAAUCCUACACACUAGUACACUCAUAAUGGGAACUCUUGAGAACCUUUUAUUACUCCAUUUCCAAACCUUGGAUCUUGUAGGGUGCAUACAUUUAUCCCUAUGGUUUUCUUGAUCUAAUGCAGUGUAAAAAUGAUGACUUCAAAAACCAUUUUAGAAUAAAGAUCUGGAGAUUUGAAAUUCAUACUUGUGAUCUGGAUGUUCUUAGAUUAAAUCUAAGUCAAUAAAUAAGACACUUGCAACUUGUAGAAGUCUUUUGUCUGAUGACUUUGACCACGACUUUUGCACUCCAAAUGGUGGGCUUUGGAAAAAAAGAAGCUUUGUUUCUCUUUCCCUCUCUCUCACUGGAGGUGGAAGACUAUCUAAAAACCUUAACCAUUCAUGGGUUGUUUAUAGGGUUCCCUUACUAGGCUUAUGGGCUUGAGUCACUUAAUCUAGCCCAAAUUGAGUCCUAGUUGACUAAUUCACCAUAUAAGGUUAUCUAAUCAAUCAAUUAGCUCAAUUCAAAAACCUUGUUCACUAUCCCAUGUCCAAUGUUGCAUGAUUACCAAAAGACCUUUAUGCACAAAAGUGAACCCAUAGCCAAUCCAUACCCUUAUAAAUCGUGUCAUCAUAGUAUAUAAGCUCGUAACGAAGACCACUAGGACCUAUAAGAGUACUGACUCCCUUAGAAUCCAAUUAUGAAGUUGAUUCAACAUCCCACUAUAAAUAAUCUACACUCCAAUAACAUAUAAAAUGACAACGAGACGAAGAUUGGGUCUAUGACCUACUAUCCACUGCAUAUAGACUUAUUAUGAAUUGGUGUUUGUAAUAUAACAAGGUAGUGCUAUCAUUUAUCAAAACUACCUCUCUAAUCCUUGAAUUACAUAUCUUACUUAUUAUGUAUUUAUCUAGCAUACUCUAACUUUAAAAAAUAUAUGUUAAAUUCCACUAAAAGAAUUUCUACAACCAUAGAUUUCAUGAUCACAUGUCCCUUAGAUCACCCAAUGGUACAUAUUGUUUCAAACCCAUGAUAUAUCAUAGUACCUCUAUUAAGAAUAUUUGUCGUCAUCAACCUCCAGCGACAAUAACUCAAUCCAUGGGGAUAUAGACACUAUAGGAUGUCACUUAUAGGUCAACGCCUCUUAUUGAUUUCAACACAUACUCAAUAUCAUCUCGACGUUAAAAGUCCAUCUAGUAUGAUAGUUCAGUAAAUUAUGACAAUUGAUAGUCUCGUGUAAUGAUUUAAGUCUCGUGUAAUGAUUUACCAUAGGUUUUAUCCAAUGUGCAUCACAUACACUAGUGCACUUAUUGUGGAAGAUUCAUUUAAAUGGUCAAGACAAGUCAUACCUUCAACUAGGAAGCAGUGCACUUACAAAGAACUCAUGAAUUAUAUCCUCUGUAUAACUCUUAAUGCACCUAAGUCAUGUACAAUAUAAGAGAUAUGUGUUGAAUGUUCAAAUCAAUGUCAAUGCAUAAAAGGGAUAGUAAGAAGAUAACCAAAUUCGACUUUGUUACAUCAUGUUUUACUUUUAAGGGAUCAAUCAUAACAAGAACCCCAUUCCAACAGUUAGACAAGUCAUCCCCCCAAUUAGAAGGUAGUGUACUAUAGUUCCUACUGAAUUACCUAAAUCUAAGAACUGGCUGUGAACAACUUAUCAUCUUGCAAAUAACCUAUAUGACUUUGUAUACAUUGUGCAAUUAAUGCACCCAAAUCAUGAACAAUGCAAGUGAUAUGAGUUGAAUGAUCAAAUCAAUGUUAAUGCAUAAAAGGAAUAACAAGGGGAAAAAUAAGUUUAACUUGGUUACAUCAUGUCUUGUUUUUAAGGGCCAUAAUCAUCAUGAACAAACCUAAAACAUUAGAGGAAGAUUUGAUGAACCCAUUGAAAGCACCAAGCAACCAACAUUGCCAAUAACAUCUUUCCAUAACAUCUUAAACAAAGAACGAUUAUAAGAAAAAAAUCUCACUAAGAACAAAAUUAAUAGCAAAAGACCUACUACAUGCCAAGCAACUAUGAAGAAAUGUAAAGAACGAGAAAUAUCCAAACUACCAUAUUGAAAAAUCAAUCGUUUAAAAUGACCAUGAGCAACUACGAUAUUAUAAGUUUCUUCAUCUUGAUCGAAUUUGUAACCUUUAUUAGCAAAUUCAUUUUUUGUGGUUUCCUUAAUCAAACUAAAGGUUACCAAGAAACCAUGCAUAACAUUGAAUAAAGACUCAUCAAAUACACCAACUACACCUAACAAGUGAAAUGGAUGCAUAAGGAUGUUGUGCUCAACCUAGAAUACAAUCAUGAAGUUGAAAGUACUAGAGAUUCCUAAAGGCAUGUCAUCAUCGAAGCUUUCAUGAGAUCAAAUUGUAAUUUGAUUACAACAAAAAAAUUAUUAUUGUUACUAUACUAUUAGAAAAGGUUUUAGGUACUAAAAAGUUACCUAGUUAACUUUUCAUCAAAUUUCAUAAAAAGUGUAUUAUAAAAUUUAAAUUAUUGAAUGAAAAUAUAAAACAAAAUGGUUGAGUACAAAGUAAUGAGAAUAAAAUAUAAAAGAUGAUAAAAAAACAUAUAAGAAUAUGAAAAAAGUACUGAAAUUAAGAUCUGUAAAAAGUAAUAAGAAAUUGAACUAUAUACUAAAUAAUGAAAUUAAACUUACAAGGUGUUUAAUAAAACAUAAUACUUAUUAUUUAAUGACUUAAAUUGACUUAAUUAUUGAGUUAAAAUUUAUUACUUAACCAUUACUUGAAAUAUUAAAGUUGUUUGACAAAAUUAACUUCAAAUUUAUUUUAAAUAAUCAAAUUAAUAUAUUUAUCCUUAUAAAUUAUACUUAAGGUAAAAGAGGUCAAGUAAUAAUGGGAGUCGUGGAGUAAAACAGAAGAGAUUGUAGAAGUAAUUAAAACAAAUGAGGAUAAAAAAUGUAAAAUAAAGAUGUAAAAUCCAAAAUAAGUUAAUUUAUUUUAUUAUUACUUAAAUUUGUUUUUGACUUUAAAUCAUAUAUUAAAUUAUUUUGUUAAACAUACUUAAUUAACUUAAUAACUUAAAUUAGGUUAUUAAGUAAGUAAGUUGGUUUAUUAAACAUAUACUUGAUAUAAAGUAAUAAAACCAAAAUACAUGAGAAACAUAGUUGAUCGAUAUCUAGCCACACCUUCCUACUAUUAUUAUUAUUAUUAUUAUUUUUUUUCUAGUUCGUUUUCUUUAAAAAAAUUUAUGCUAUUAGUUAUAAUUAGAAUUUAAUUUUUUUAUUAAAACACACGAAUAGCCAUGUGAUUGUACUUGUUGUGUAGCUUUUGCGCAAAACAAGCCGCAUGCCUUUUCAGCCUAACACGGUCCUUGUCCGCUACAGCAAACCACAUCACGCCACGUCAUAUAAAGUAAUGGCAGUUUCGUCAUUUAAAAUAAACCAACGUGAGAUCAGAGAAACUACAACUUAAACCGGCACCCGGAACCGCGCACACUCGAUUCAAGCCUCCUCUGGCGCCUGCGCCGCAGCCAUGUUUAGCUUCUGCAAACUGCAACUUCAAAAAUAGUCAGAAAUCUAAAAAUAAAAGAAAAAAACAGGAAAAUCGAAUUCUAGGGUUUUCAAAUGUCCAUGGCUUCUCUCCCCCACAUCGAUGAUGUAAGCCCAUCUCCCCCAUCUCUUACCUCUCUCUUUCUUAUAACUAGGGUUUCUCACGAUUUUGCUUUUGCGAAACACAGGAUGAUGAUUUCGGAGGCGAUUUCUCUGGAGGCCACAAUGGCAGGCGUUCAGGUUUUUAUUUUUAUUUUUGGCAACCAAAGACCUAUUUUUUUUGUAGGAUGUGGUUGCUCUUAUGUUUUAAUUUUUGUUUUUGUGUGUUUUGUGUUGGGGGAAUGUUAGGGAAUAAGAGAGGCUUUGGAGAUCUUGAGGAUGACGAAGACGAUAUUUUUAGCAACAAGAAGGUAUCGUUUUGUAUAAUUUAAUUUCUGGUUUUUAUGUUAAAAAGUUGGCGCGUGGAAACGUUAUGUGGGUAGUUUUGGUAAAUUGCGAUCGUCAGCCCUAACAGUUUGUGUGGCUCCUGAGAAAAUUUGGCAAAGGAAAAGAAAUUGAAAUUCUGAAUGAAAAAUUGAAGCAAUGUAAUGUAGUAGGAAUUUGUUUUUGACAAGGCAAAUGAUAAUGUGUAGGCAUUUUUUUUUUGUUUUCUCAAAAGUGGCUUCUUCAUUGAAAGGAACAUAACCUAUUCUGAUGAGGUACCACCGGAAUUGGUAAUGGAAGUUUGUUGUCUUAGAUUCUGACACAAGUGAGGACUCUGUUUCCAGGAUCAACCAGGAGAUAAUAAAUUAAGUGUCACCACUAGUUUCUUUUUUUGGGUGUAUGCAUUUAGUAACUCUGAAAUUGGCCUUUCAGGAAUUUCGGAUCCCAGUAGUUGGGUAGUGCAACUUUGGGAUCUGACGGUGGAGAAGAUUUUUAAGCAUUUGAUAGGAUGGGAAAAAGAGCAUUCUUCAAUUUGUGAAUGCUCAUUCACUCAACCUAAUUACACAUUCCUAUGUUAAUUCUUUCUAUCUGUAGGGCCUUAUGAUAAUGUUCAGUGGGAUAAAAUGAACAAAUAGCUUUGUUGGAGAAGGAAAACUAAGUUGAGGUUGUGUUCCCAUCUGCUCAUUCAUGGGCUAUGAGUUUUAAAUUUUCAGUGGGAUAAAAGGAACAAAUAGCUUUGUUGGAGAAGGAAAACUAAGUGGUGGUUGUGUUCCCAUCUGCUCAUUCACGGGACUAUGAGUUCUAAAUUUAUUUAUUUUUAUUUAUUUUUUAUUUUAGAGGCAAAGAAAGGUAUGUAUAAUAUAAUAACUAAAAAAGUACACCGAAGUACAUAGGAUGUAUAUAAGAGCCACCUAAAAGAAAGGCCUCAAAAGAGAUGCCACAAAAAAACCAUUCUCACUCUUAAGAAGACCCCACCCAAUCUAUUAAAUUAAUGAAAGACGUCAAGCUUGCUCUUAUGUACAUGCUAACCCUAAUUGAAAGAUUGCAAAGGAUCAAAUGUUUUAACUUUUGGUUAGUCUUUUUUUCGUUUUCAAAUACUCUUCAAUUUCAUUCUCACCAAAUUGUCCAAAAUAAUGUGGAGAAGAGCAACUCUCUAUACCUUCUUUCUUUUUCUCCCUACAAAGGGGUUGUGCCAACUUAAUAGAGUUUCUUUCACCGAAGAGAGGAUCACCCAAACUACAUUGUAUGAGGAGAACAACAAAUGCCAUAGAAUCAUUGCGUUGAUAUGGUGAGAUAGAAUAUACUUAAUAGAUUCCCUCUCAAGUUUACAAAGAAAAAACCUAUUCACUAGUGACCACCCUUUGUUUUGGAAUUGAUAUGAGGUCCAAACUUUUCUCCAAUUGGCUUUCCAAGCAAAAAAAGUUCACUUUGGACAGGCUCUCUGGAUUCCAAAUGAUGUCCAUUGGAAAGGGGAUUGACCUCUUGAGUUCCAAGACUGAAUAGAAAGAUUAAAUUCAAAACAUGUCCUUCGUAGAAUCCUCCCAGACGACCCCAUUGUUCUCCUCUCCUAACCAACUUCACUAGCGAUCUAAAAAAAAAAGUCUUACCAAAAUCCAACUCCCAAUCGUUAAAGUGCCUAGAAAAGCAUGGAUUCCAAUGACCCCUCACUCUUGAAUCUUCCUAGAUCUGUGACCCAAGCCUCCUUAGACGAGGCCAUCGCAUACAAGGACGGUAAGGAAAUACACAAGGGCUCCUUGCCACAACAUUUGUCCUUCCAAAACUUAACCCUCUUACCAUUACUUGCUUUAACGAAGGCUCUACUUAAGGAAAGAUCCCACCCCUUACAGCUUUUCAUACUGCAACAUUGAAACCAUCUCACUUUGCUAGAGUGUCAAUCCGCUCCUCCUUUCUGUACUUCCCCUCUAUAAUGCCUAAUACCUGCUUCCUCCUAUCCAAGCAAACAACUGUACAUAUGAGGCUUUUUCUCCAAAGGUUCACCCCCCCAAGGAAAAUGCCUUUGAAUCUUUGCUAACCUCAAUUUGACUUUUCUAGGGAUUAAAAACAAGGACAUCUAAUAGUUUGGUAGGUUGAACAACGUGCUUCUAAUCAACGUUAGCCUCUCCCCCCUUUAGAAAUAGAUUGGUGGGUUUUGAUUUGGAAAACAAAGCUCUUUGGGAAUUUGGAUGUGGAUGUUUCCACGAGAACAAACUUCUAUUUGGCACACUGAUUAAGAGUGUGUGCCAGAUUGGUUGAGGUCUAGAUGCAUGCAUAUAAUUGGUUUGAAUGACCUAUCCUACCCUACUUCCUUUGGAAUUCACUUUCUUCAGAGACCCUGAACUUGUGAUAGUCAACUCUUCUCAUUUUUAAGUUUCUCAAAGAGUAGACUUAUUCAUGCCUUUCCACUAUUCCAGUUGUUAGAGUCUUGAUUUGAGCAUUGCUUUCUCAAAGAAUCUUACUUCUAAUUCUUAUUUGGCUGUCUUUGUGAAUAAUUUUCUUUUUUCCUUCUUUUUUUUGUAAGAAAUGACUUGGAAGUCAAAUUUCUCUUAAGUUUGGACUUUUGUUAUGGUCAAUAUGCUUCCCUUGAGGAAGCCACAAUUUUUUGAUCCCAAAUACGCAUCAUUCAUUUUUUGGAUGGUUUGGAAGGAAAGGAAUAGAUUAGCCUUUAGGGGGGGGGGUCUUAGCAAUUCAGAGGUUCAAAUAUUCUUUUGUUUGUUAUAUCUGGGGUUGGGCUAAAUUGUAUAUGGAAGAGAAGCCGCUCUCCCUUUUAGAUUUCCUGGAGUGGAUUGCCUCCAGUUGAGGGGUGGUUUGUUUUUUGGUUUUUGCUUGUUUUUGGCCUUUGCUGCCUGGUAUACGUCCUGUAUACGUUGGGGUUUUUAGCCUCUUUAAUGAAUUGUGGUUACUUAUCAAAAAAAAAAAAUACGCAUCAUGCAUGAGUUCUUGGUCUAUAUAUCUAUUCAUCUUUUUUAUUUUUUUGUUUCUCCAUCAGUUGUUUGUAUUUGUUGGGGCUGGACCAUUCUCUGAUAUAUCUCCUCUCUGUUAGAUCUUUUCCUGGUUUUUGAGUGAGUAACAAACUGCUCUGGGUGCCUGCAAUUUUCAUUUUCAUGUUUGACAAUAUAUAUAUUUUUUUUCAUUGCCAUGUUUGUUCAUUUUUGUGAGAUGAAUUGUAAAUUUCUCAAGGCAAGUAUGAAUGAAUUGCAUCUGUUUGGGAGGAGAUUUGAUUUAAAAAGUAGUAUUUGCAGCACGUCGGGAGGAGUUGACUAGACUUGAUAUCUAUUUGCUGUUUGACCUUUACAUGGUGUUCUGUUUUUUGUUUUGCUCUAGGAGUCCUCUGCAGUGAAAUUUGAGAAUUGUCUUCAAUGGGCUUUCUUUACUUGCUUAGGCAAUCUUGGUGAAAUUAGGAUUAGUGGGAUUUUCUGAAAACCAUGGUAGCAUUUCAUCAGCUUCAACUUCUCUAAAAUUUGAAUUCUUGUUUGGGUAAGGGCAGCUAGGAAUUGACCUGUUGGGUAACAAUGUGGAAGUUGACUUUUUAAUUAUGUCAGAUGGACAAAUGCAAUUUGCUGAAACUGAAUGUUGUGCAAGAAAAGCCCUCGAGGCUUGGCUCAAGUAGUAAGGAGUUGAGUGGGAUUAUGGCAGGUACCAGGUUCGAGUCCUAGUGGGAGCAAAAAAGGAAAAAAGAAAAAGAAAAAAAAGAAAAAAUUAUUUACCUAUAGAAAAAAGGAAUAUUGUGCUACACAAACUUCAGAAUGACUAAUGCUUUUUGUGUGAAUGGAUUUGUUAAGAGUAAUUUGGGAAGCCAAUUCCUUGGAUGAAUACUUUCGAGGAAUUUAGGGAGCACUUCUAUCAUUCAUAGCAACUAUGCAUCUUGAUUUGGUGUUGAUGCCAUCUGCAGGUCCUUUUUUGGUUUUUGUUGAGUUUUUGGGGCUUCUGCUGUGUUGUCCACUUUUGUUAAUUUGUUGAUGCCUCCUGGUAUCUUCUGUUUCUUCAGACAGAGUACUUCUUGUUCUUUGCUCUGUUAUAUAUUUAAGGAGACUAUUUUAUCUGUGACAAAAAUGAAUAAUUGAUGCAUGAUGUAUAACUGGCUUCAGGUUUUAAUCUUUUUUAUAUUUAGGUCUACUUAUUAGUUUAUGUUUUUUUUUAUGACAUUCAAGUUCUUAUUUGCCAUCUUUAAUCACUCAUAGUUAUUUGCUAGUAUAUAAUCCAUAUGAACCUCAAAUAUGUGUAUAUAUAUUUCUCAUGUGUAUUAAUGAGUUGCAAAAAUUUGUGAAUCUUACGAACAUCAUUUCUCUUGUUUAUAAUGCAGGGAAGCUUCAAACUUGAAGAAACUGCUCCUGGAGUUGCGACAGGAAUGAUUUUGUCUCUCCGUGAGAGGUAUUAUUAGAUGGAGGAGAUUUUUAUUUUUAUCGAUUAAAAUUCUUAGUAUGCUAAUGUUAAUUAAAACUGCAAUUAGAGGUAGUGGACAACCAUAUAAUUGCAAAUAUCUAACUGAAGACUUGGCUUUAAAUAGAGUUGGAUGGAUAAAAAGGAUUCUUGUAGCUGAUCCCAAGUAGUAGGGGUUCAGAGGUUGUUGAGUUGAGUUUGACUGUAAUCAAGUUGGUUCAAUUGAAUCGAAUUUUUCUUCGAUUUCUAAUUUCCCCCUGUUUGAUAAAUUUUUUCCCCCAUUUUGUGAUUUCUCUUUUGCAGUCUUCAAAACUGUAAGGAUACUCUAGCAACAUGCCAAGUAUGUAUCAGCUUCCUGAUUUAUAUUUCCUAUUUUGCACAUUUGUCAUCUUUUUUUUCGUUUUUUUUUCUUUUUAAUAAUGAAUAUUGUAUAUUUUGCAUGGAAAUGUUAAUUGUUAUUUUCACUUUUGUGUUCUUAUAUUUUAUUACUUUUAAUUAUUAUUUUUUGUUUGCUUGCUACUUUAGCAGGCCUCAAAGGUAUUUUCAAUUUUGUUUAAUAAUACAGUAAUAGAGCAACCUCAGUUUCCUUUUUCUUUUUUUUUUUUCCUCUCUCUUGGUAAGAAAAGAAACUAAAUUAAAAAGCGGGAGCAGCGCAGCUGGGUGGGGAACCCAUGUAUAUAAGGAGUGUACCUUGAAGAGAGCCAAAAGAGAUGAAAUACGGGAAGAAAAAAGAAGAUGCAAGAUUACACCAGUUAACAGAGGGGAAAAACCCAAAACUAUUGACCAAAUCCCCGACGAGAUGUCUGUUGCCUACUAAUACACCCUCAACGGAAGAUAGAUUGCAGUUAGUAUAACCAUACUUCUUGAGCUUUGGAGCAGCAGACUCAAUCCCUCAAAGGUUUUCCUAUUAUUCUCUCUCUAGAUGCACCAACGUACACAAUGUGUCGUCCUUUAAACCUUUCUACUACUUUCCUUAUAGGAUGACCACCUACUUUUCUUGAUAGAAUGACCAUGCUAACUGUGAAAUGCCUUUUCUGAAGAUUAAAAAAAAAAAUACAUCUGAAACAAAUAGAAAACCAUAGAUCAGAACCUCCGAACAACUAGGUGGUGGAUCACCAGAUGAUUAACCAAUUCCGCAUCCCUCCUACCAUGACAAUUCCUCUAACUAUACGUGACCCUGUUGUCUUGAGAUGGUUCAAGGUCAGAAUUCUCUUUCACACCAUCAUCCACACAAACAAAGUCACCCUUGAUGGUGUGACCAACAUUUGGAACUCUUUAGUGGUGAAUUUUGCUCCCUCUCAAGGUUUCACCAAGAAUUCUGCUUCUAUUUGAUGUACAGUGGGUGAUGCACUUUUUUUGUGAGAGGGGUGCUCUUGAGUUGGGAUGGUUCCUUAGUUGCCAAAAAAAGGAGAAAAGUUUGGAAUAUUGCUUCUUUAUGCCUUUUUUGGUCCAUCUGGAGGGAAAGAAAUAGGAGAACUUUUGAGAAUUGUGAAAGUUUAGACCAAACAAUUAAAAGUUCUUUUUUGUAUCUAUUUUGGGAUUGGGUUAGAUUGUCCAUUGGGGAUGGUGUUAUGUCACCGUUAGAUUUUGUGGAUUGGUUAGGUUCCUUGUAGGAUGUGGUUGCUUAUUUUUGUGUAUUCGCCUCUUCUGGUUUUUGUUGUUUUGUAUGCAUUGUGUAUACUUUUUAUUUAAUAUAAUAUUCUCUUACCUAUAUAUAUAAAAAAAGAAUUCUGCUUCUAUUCUAGUGUUCCAUUUCAUUCCAUCCUUCAUUCUCAUAUGGACUGCAUUCUCUUUAUAGAUUUAAAAAAUACUCGCAUGGCAUCUAACUCUCAGUCCUCUCUCUCUUGCAAAUCUUGAGUUUUUAAGAGGGUGUGAGCACUAGCACAUGCAUGGUGCUCCUAAAAGGUGAAAAAGGAAGGACCCAAAAACAAGGCAAAUAAAUUUUUUUCCAAUAUAUUGAAAAGUGUUUUGUAACCACCAACAUCCUUUAUGAGUUUUCAGUUUCCUUGAAAAAUAAAGCUUAGUUGUGCUUGCAGUUCAAAUUUGGAUAUGCUUGCACUUCCAAAUUUUGAUAUUGUGUUUUCAAGCAUUUCUCACAUUUUGGAAGAUAAUAGUAUCCUAAUAUGUAGUGUAAACUUCUUCUUUGUGGAUGGUCAGAUCUUUUCACAUUUUGGAAGAGGUAGGCGUUCCUAUGAUAGUUUAGGUUUUACCUUAUAAUUGAUUAGUUUUAUAAGUUGCAGUUAAAUUUAUGAAUAUGGUAAAUUGAGCUUGUCAGGGUGUGGAGUUGGUUAGGACGAGUGCUAGGAUGUAUGGUAGAGGCACAUGGUCCUAGGUUCGAUUCUGGUUGUUGUUUGAAUGCCUUGGAUUACUCGGUGCUUAUUGUGGCGGGUAUAGUCAACACCUCGAGGCUUGGGUUUUCCUAUGGAGAGUUUGAAGGGUUCUAUCACGGAAAGUUUCCCAGUUAUCAAAAAAAAAAAAAAAAAAGAAUGUGGUAAACUGAGUUGCCUGCUUAUGCUAUUCAUAUUAAAUCUAUCUUUUUCUAUUCAGUGGUGUUAAACAUUUGCACUAUGGAAGCUUGCCACUCCAUGCCCUUCAUGUGGUGGUGAGAGAUGUAACAGACUUGUGCACAACUUUCUCAUACAAAUUUAGGGCAUAAAAUUGUGCCCAUAUAAUGGAAAAUUGUUGAUCGAAUGAUGGAUGUGGAGCUUAUAUAUGUGAGAACGCCAACAGAAAGAUGGGCGAAUGCUGUGAAAAAAGAUGUAAUGGUCUUUACUAUAAUGAUGGAUGUGGCCCUAUGUUGAGCAUAGCAAUGAAAAAGAAUCCAUGUAAUGAAGCUGUGUGAUAAUCUUUGACUUUGGAUUAGACUUCAGCCAAUAAGGAAGAAGAACACCAACACAGCCUUAAAUUGAACAUAAAUCCUUGGCCACUAUUUAGCCAUAUGUAGUGCCAUGUUCUUUAAUUAAAGACCACAUCUUUUAGGAGUGGCUUUAUUUUUUCUGUUCGUUUCAUUCCCCAAGCUUGUCAAAUUCAGAAAAGCCAGUUUUAAACAGAAAAUCAUUGUCCAAAGUUUGUUUCCAGACAAUUACACAUAGGUCAGUUCCAGGGUGGUAAUCUGUUUACGAUUCAUGGUAAUGUAAUAAAAAAGUUUGUGGCACAAGAAAACAAAAAUCUUAGAUCAACUGAGUUUCUGUGCUUCUAGAUGGAAUGAAAGGAAAAGGAAGUUUUCAUUGGGAUUUCAACCCAUUUCUCACUUAUUUUCUCAUUUUUGACUGGGUUAUUAUCCAUAUCAAAGUGUUUGUUUUUUUUGUUUUUUUUUUGAUAGGGAAAUGAGAAUAUAUUAAAAGCACCAAUAAAAAAGGGACAGACACUUAGGAUAUGAGAAGUAUACAUCUAAAAAGAAAAAGGAAACAACCAACCGCCAUAGCCUCAUUCUAAUUACUUAUGGCACAACCACUCAAUGAAGUCUAUGGGGAACCAGCUUGAAUAUCAAGGUGUUUCUUUUUAUUUCUUUUCCAUUAUGACUUUCUUCACUUUUCAUUAAUGCCGAAAGAGAACAGAACAAAAACUGGGUGGGGUUGGGGUUUGCCUUUUUAUUAUAUUUUAUUUUGUAGUCUAAUAACACAUAUAAUGUUCAGAACUUUUUAGUUUUCUUUGUAUUUCUCUUAGCAAUUUUGGAGUGGUUUUCCAAUCUUGUUUGGUGUUGGCCAUUUCGAUUUUCUCUUUUUCCUGGUAUAAAACUGAUAAAUCUAAGAAUCUGGCUUGCAAUGUCAGCCGAGAAAUGGAGAAAAAGGUUAAAGAAAACAAAAAUGAAAAUGGAAAAGAAAAUUCAAUCAAAUCCAUGUUGAUUUUUUACCAUCUCCUGUCCAAAAUCAUGCUCCAAGAUGUUCCAGGUCAGGCAUGCACUGCUUAUACCAGACUGUUAUCGGACUCAGAACUAACCAUCUUAUAUUUUUCCAUCCCUACUUUUCUCAUUCCCUUGCCUCAAUUUCCCAGUUCUCCUGACAUUUGAGCGACUUCAAAAUCCUGGUCGAGGAUGUUCUCUAUUCGAGAUCCCUGCCUUUUCUUUUUCUCUCUUUUGGGUUCCUACUUGGAGUCAAACCUUAAACCCUUUCACAUGUCCAUCCCAAUUUCAUACCCCACUUGAGUCACAGCCUCAAGGGCUCUUUGCCUUGCAGAGAAUGCAUAUCGAGCAAUUAUUAGACCUUGCUAGGAAGUUCCUUAAGUUGUAAUUAUCAUGACUGCUUUUUUGUUUUGAUCCUAUUUUGUUUCUUUUAUGCACUUCUGCUACCUUUUGAUUUAAAUAUUUCAUCUUCUGUUAUUUAUUGGAAACAAAUUAAGGUUCCUUUUAGCCCAAGAAUGCUUGUGUUUUUGAGAUGUUUCAAGUAGUCAUCCUUGUCCGAGUAUACGCUAGUAUUGUUUUUUGGGAAUUACUGUGAUUACAUGAAUGCUACCAUUCCCAAUUUUAAGGUUAAAAAACCUUGACCCAAUGGGUUGAAGCUUUGCUUUGUGGCUUAUCCUUUUACUAUUAUUCUGCUCUUCCUCAUUUCUUCAAAAUAUUUUAUGGAUGACUGAAUUACGAUUGCACUGAUUUCAGACGGAGCUUGAAGCUGCAAGGUCAGAGAUUCAAAAGUGGCAUUCUUCAUUUCAGAAUGAUUCCUUCAUACCAGCAGGCACAUCUCUUGGUUAGGCUUUUCGUCAAGUGCUUCAGUUUCUUUCAUAAUAUAUUUUAUCAUGUAUUUUGGCAUAGAAUUGUCAUGCUGUUAGAACUAAAGCUGUUUAUGAUCAUAUGGCGUGCGUUUCAUUUGCUUUCUUAAAAAAGUUAUCCUCUUUUCUCUUUGUAGAACCUAAACUAGUGGUCAACUAUCUUCAGACUCUGAAAUCCUCUGAAGAGUCAUUGAGAGAACAGGUUUCCUGUCAAAUUUUAUUUUGUCUUUUUUAGUUGCAUAAGAAGUCAUCAUGCUUCAUGCAGGAUUUAAUCCAUGUUUUUUUCUUAUAAUCAGCUAGAAAAAGCAAAGAAAAAGGAAGCUGCUUUCAUUGUAACAUUUGCUAAACGGGAGCAGGAGAUUGCAGAAUUGAAGGUUAUCAUUUUUAAUUUUUUCUGUUUGAUCCUUAUUCUAUGUUAUGUGCACAAGGUGUAAUUUCAUGUUACAAUCUUUGAUAGAAUUAUCUAAAAGAAAUGUAUAUACCUUAAUUCUUUUAACAGGAGAAAAAUUUAUUUGGAGAGGAGCCAUUUUUUUUUUUAAAUGUUUUUGAUUGAAACAGGAUAUUUAUUAAAUUGAAUUGGAAAAUACAAGGAUGGGCUAUCUUUCAAAAAUUGCAGACUGAACAGAAAAGAGAAAAGGUUACAACCAAAUAAACUCAAGAAAUACCACGACAUCAGAACAUCAAAGUCCUAGAAGAAUCCUAGAAUACAUAACGGAAAUGAAGUACCAAACACACUAAUCCUGCAUUGAAUCUCUGACCAAAAAUUCUAGUAGGUGUUUGUAUUGAAAUCGCUUGACCUUGCUCUCAGUGAGUACAAAUCAUUGUGAAGUUGAAACAAUCUGAUUCUGGGUUAGCUAUUGAAAUACAAGAAUGAGAAUAAGCAGAAUUUCUUCAAUGGUUUUCAAAAUUGAUGCCUGAAUAGUAACUUAUAUUGUACCGUCUCCUCUUUUUUUCUCUCUGUCAUCUGGUUAUCCUUUGAUCAUAUUGUUUUGUAAAGAUUUGUAUUCUUUGCUUCUUCAGUUAAGGACAUUGGAUUCUUGAAUGUAACUGUGUAAUGUCACCUCUGUCUGAUACCAAAUUCAUUUUUAAAUUCCCAGUCUGCAGUCCGGGAUUUGAAAGCACAACUGAAGCCACCAUCAAUGCAGGUAUUAUAAAAUUUUAAUUUUGUUCCUUAUGGGGGCAUUAAGUUUUUGUAGAGGUGAAAGUUCAGAGACUAUGGAUAAUAUUAUUUUCCUGUUUCCUGUUCUCGCAUUGUUUAUGUAUGAUAUCUCUAGGGUCUUGGUCUUAGAUUUUUCUACAGAUUAGGAUUCUAAUUUAAAUUCCCUUUUCUUAGCCAUAUAUAUGCCAUUUACACUUGCUUGCUGCCACACACAUGACAUAUAUUUUUUUUUGAUAGAUAAAUGGGAAAAUAUAUUAGAAAGGGCUGCCAAAAAAGCAGCCCAAGGUAUACAAAAAGUAUACAGCUACCACCAGCCUCCACCACAAUAAAACCAAGUUACAAAAUAAAAGGAAUACAACCAGCCUGCCCUCACCAAUGACCCGACCAAUCUAGCAAGCUGAAAAGAGUUAGAGGAGCAUCAUCCAAGCACCCCUUUGCUUCCAACCAAAGACAAGAAACAAAAGAACUUUUUAGCCUUUGGAUAGAGAGCUCUUCCCCCUCAAAGGCAAUUCUAUUUCUUGCCUUCCACACCAUCCAAAACAAACAUAAUGGUCCCGCUUUCCACACCUUCCUACGCCUUCUUGUCCUCAAACGGCCCAUGCCACUACACAUGACAUGUAUUUAUGUGCAUAAAUACACACAUGCAUACUUAUACCUUUGUUAAUGGGACUUUUCCUUGAACAAAAACAAUUUUUUGAUUGGACCUAAUUUCUUGCUAUGUUGACUAUCUUCAAAUUUUUCUGAGUCACUAUUUGAAAUCCAACUAUUAUACAAUUUCACCAUGUCAACAUCGGAAUAACAAAAACCUGCUAAAACAAGUACAUGAUAAAACUUCUCAUUAUUCUCAAAAAUCUGAUUUUUUUGUUCAAAUAUUGCUUUAUUUUUUAUUUUAUUUUAUUUAUUUUUCAAAUUACCUGAAGAACUGCUAGGAGAGGUAUAUGACAAAACCUUUAUGCUUGGGCCAGAAGCUCUUGAUAUCCAUUAAUCCAAUUUGAGACAUUCUUACUUCAUUGAUGCAAACCAUUAUGGAAUUUAAAUCAAUUUAUUGAACUGGUACAUAAUGUUGUACCUGAUGCCUAUGCACACAAACACACAUGAUGUUGCACUUGAUGUCUAUGCACACACACACACACAUGAUGUUGUACCUGAUGCAUUAUUCUAUUUUCUUUUCGCCUGAAAUCCAUCAAUUUUUUAGAAAGAAAACAAGAAUGGAUACAACAGAAGGACGAGGGUGCCUUCUCACUUCUCAAUGAGGGAAGAAGCUUUUUGAUAGCUCAAGGGGAUUGCACUAGGGUGACACCCUCUUGCCUUUUCUCUUCAUAAUAGUGAUAUAUCACUUCCCAUUUUCUAGAUUACUGAUUGAAAGUACAUAGAAUGGUGAAUAGUUUUGCUAACCUGAGAAUUGCCUUCAUCCCUCAAACCCCUAUCUUAUUAAUGUACAAGAUUUUGCGGUAUGCUUUAGUUCUCUGCAUUUACAAUCAAUUUCUAUUAAGCCAUGAAGGGGGCUUUCCAUGCUUUUUGCAGCCUUGGACAACAAGAACAGUGCUGGGUUUGGUUAUUUACUUCUCUCAUUAUCCACCCUUCAAAUAAGCUCAUCAUUUUUUUUGGGCUUUUGGUUUGGUUUUGUUUUGUUGUCUGUGUUGUGGUAUACAGUAAUUCUAGAAUUAUUAGCCCCUAUUUAUCUGAAAAUUCUCAGGUCCACCCUAAAAGUUUUGUUACUUGCCCUGCUUAUGAUUAAUACAUGCUGCAUUGAUUGGUCCUAUUAUUUUGCUACUGAUGUAGUUUGCUAUUGUGAUAAAUCCAACAGGCAAGGAGGUUAUUACUAGAUCCAGCAAUUCAUGAAGAGUUCACACGUUUAAAGGUGCAUGCCCGAAACUUAUGAUGGAAGCCUAAAUUAUUUUGCAAUUGAUGCUUUAUAUGUAUAUGUUUUCUUCUUUUAAUCGGGCUGGAUCUAAGAGUUCAUCCCUUAGAAACUUAAUAUGAAUUUUUUGCAUGCUUUGGUUGGAUAUGGAUAUGUACCAUCCAGGCUGAACAUCCCAAGUUUUUAGGUUCAUUAUGAUGUGGCAAUAUACUUCUAUGGUUAACCAGCUUGUAAAGUGUUCAACUUUUGACCUUUGGUUGAUCCAUUAUGGAAAUGGAGUUAAACUUUUGGAAGUGCAAGAAAUAAAACUCUGAAAAAUAAUGUAAUAAUUUUUUUCUUAGCUAAUUCUGGUUUGAAAGUUGUCAUUGUAUUCUAGGAAGUUGUACAUUGAUUUUGAUUACACAAUGGGAUAAGCAUGGAGUUUUCAAAAAAUAAAAAAUAAAAAAUAAAAAAUGAAAGGUUUUUCUCAAACUUUAUGGUCACUUUCCAACUUUCCUUUUUUUUGCUAUGCAAGCACAAAAAUAUAUUAACAGCACCUAUCAAUUAACACACCAAAAUACAUAGGAGGUAUACAAGGGAACUUUCUGCAGAACAUUUUUUGUCACCUGGAAUGAAAUAAAGCUUUUCAUAUUUAGGCUUUCCAUUUCCUAUGUUAUCUAUUGUUGCCAUCGUGAGUAUGAAGAGUGGAAAACGAAGCAAGAAGCGAAAGUGGAAACAAUUGAGGGAAAGCAUGGAACAAAAAAGAAUUGACCAGGGGGUCAAUUUUCAUGGAAAUGGUAUAAAAGGUGCAUGGGGAAAGGUGAUUAUGAAACUGGUGCAAGAAGUGCAUAGCGAAAAGCCCUUAGGAAAACUGUUUAUGCAAUUUCUGCAUUUCUUUUAUUAGCAAACUUCCACAUAAUAACAAAUUGAGCUUUCACAGCCCUGGAAUUCAGUGUUCUGAAAUUGUGGGAGUGCCACUUUAGAAGAAGGAUCAUAAUCUUUUUUUUUUUUGAAAAAACGAAAGGAAGAAAAUAAAGACUCCCUAUUCCAUAGGCCAGAGCAUUUUAUAUAGUUUUUUUUUUUUUUGUGUGUGAAUAGUCAUUUUUAGGCUGGGUUUGACUUUGUUGAUGUGCUGAGCUGUAUGUGAAGUUUUGGGGUACUUCUGGUUCCUUUUCUCCUCUCUCUGUUUUGCUUUUUGUUUAUUUUAUUUAUUUACUUUUUUUUUGGUAUCUCUGGGCUUUUUUUAUACAACAUUUUUAUACUUGGGUUGCACCUUUUUCUUGGCGCUUUAAUAUAUUUGAUUUAUUUUUAUUUUUUAAAGUAGCUCAAGGAAUUACUUUCAAUUUUCACUUGACGAUCUUCAACAUUAUUCAAGAGUGUCAUUUUCAUCUUGUCAAGUGUUUUUGGUCUAUCCUUUUUGGCUUGUGUGUUACUUUGGUUAUAAGUCACAUCUUCAUCUUUCUGACUGGAUAUUUUUGCUAAUGUAGUUUCAAAAUAAAUGAUUUCUAUUGUGCUUGUUUUUUCAUUUUGAACUUUCCAGCGCACAGGGGUUUUCAGAUUCUAGAUUUGAAGGUUGAUAAUUUAUAUUGUUGCAUGCUGUAUUUGAGAUUAGGUAGUGGUGAUGAAUUUGUUUUUGAAUAGCCUGUUCACAAUGUUCUCAUGCCAUGCCAGAAUUUGGUUGAGGAGAAGGAAAAAAAAGUGAAGGAGUUGCAGGAUAAUGUUGCUGCUGUCAAUUUUACUCCACAAAGCAAGAUGGGGAAGAUGCUAAUGGCAAAAUGCCGAACCCUGCAGGAGGAAAAUGAGGAAAUUGGAAAUAUAGCUUCUGAGGGAAAGGUGCUGCUAGUACAUUAGAUGAAUUUGUUGUUACCUAUGCAUUUAAUACCAUGUAUUACAUUUCCUAAAAAAGGGUUUAUGCUCUAUGAUCUUAUAUUUUGUUUAUUUCUGCUUAUGGAGCUUCAAAGAGACAGAAGAAAGAAGAGGGCAAUCUUUUUAACUCUUUUUUCUUUGGUUCUAUUUUUUUGAACAUUACUGAAUUUUGACAUGUAUAACAUACUUGCACUGUGCAUGAAAUGAAAACUAUACAUAAAAUAAAUAUUAUUAUACUUAUGAUUUUGGAACUUAUGUUUUUUCUUUAUUUAAAUUUCAUUUUAUGGCAUGAUGUUUGAUUGAUUGUUGUUUGUUCAACAAUGUUUUGCUGGCAGAUGCAUGAAUUAACAAUGAAACUUGCUUUGCAAAAAUCUCAAAAUGCAGAGCUCAGAAGUCAAUUUGAAGGUCAGUGGUAUAUAUUCCAUCUCUCUCUUUCACUUGCUAUGGGUAUUUUUUUUUUCUUAAUGUUAAGCCUGCACUCUACAUGUUUUUGCUGAUGGCUUCUGAAGAGUGCUUCUGGUUGGCAAUGACUGGCCGCUCAAACGGACUGAUAUGCCCCCAAAAAUCGGUUGACAUUUUGAUUUUGAAUUUUUUUUCUUUUUGAAUGAGGAAUUAUAUCAUGUAUGUUCUAUUAGAUUAUAUGGAAAAUAUGUGUAUACCUUUGGAAAAAGAGAAAAUGCAGUAUGUUGUCAUUACCUGUAUUUUUAUCCGAGCAACUGAUCUUGAGGGAAACAAACAAUAAGUUUGACGAAAAGAGACUUACGAGUUGUAUGGAGAGCAGCCAUUUGUAUUCACUUUCAAAAGGAAACCUGAUUCAUUUUUUCUCACUUUUCCAAUGCAUGCUAUGCUCCAAAUUCUGUUUGUUCUUUUCAUUGUUGAAGAAUUUCUGAACUCCUUUAUUGAUGUUAAUCGGUACACACCAUACACAUAUAUAUACACAAAUAACUGAAUAAGAAAAAAUCAAUCUAGCUUAAUUCUCUUCUAAAAUUAGGAAACUAAAUCAUAAGGAAAUAUCCUAAAUGAUCUCUCCUUUUUUAUUCCUAAAUUAAAGUCCUAACUUUGGCAUUAUUUCAACACUCCCCCUCAAGCUGGAGAAUAUAUAUCAUAUAAUCCCAGCUUGCAAGUUAAGUCUUCGAAGUUAGGCCUAGGUAAAGCUUUGGUGAGGAUGUCUGCGGUUUGGUGCUUGGUAGGAACAUAGUUUAAUUUGACCGUCUCACUAGUCACCUUCUCUGUGAUAAAGUGUCUGUCAAUCUCAACAUGCUUGGUCCUGUCAUGAUGCACGGGGUUCUUUGCUAUGCUUAUAGCGGCCUGAUUAUCACACAUCAUCAGAAUUGGAGAUGAACUCGUUUGUCCCAGUUCACUAAGAACCCUUUUUAUCCAAAUCCCUUCAUAGAUUCCCUGUGCAAGAGCUCUGUACUCAGCUUCUGCACUACUUCUGGCUACAACUGAUUGCUUCUUACUCCUCCAGGUAACAAGAUUUCCCCAGACAAAAGAACAAUAUCCGGAAGUGGACCGCCUGUUAAUGAUGUUUCCUGCCCAAUCCGCAUCUGAGUAUACUUUAGUGUCACGGUUCUCUGUCUUUCUGAAGAAUAGGCCUUUCCCUGGUGUCAUUUUUAAAUAUCUAAGAAUCCUGUAGACUGCUUCCAUGUGUUCCUCAGUGGGGCUGUGCAUGAAUUGACUUACAGCACUCACUGCAAAGCCAAUAUCUGGCCGAGUGUGUGAGAGAUAAAUCAAGCGCCCGACAAGCCGCUGAUAUCUCCCCCUGUCUACCGGUGUACUUUCUUUCUCGAUACCAAAUUUCUUCUGACUAUCCAUAGGAGUAUCAAUUGGUUUGCAUCCAAGCAUACCGGUCUCCUUAAGAAGAUCGAGUAUGUAUUUUCUUUGAGAGACUACGAUUCCCUUCCUUGAUCUAGCCACUUCCAUACCAAGGAAAUAUUUCAAAUUUCCAAGGUCUUUAACUUCAAACUCUUCUGACAAAUACUUCUUCAAAUUCUGUAACUCCCCCAUAUCAUUUCCAGAUAGAAUAAUAUCAUCGACAUAGACUAUCAAUAUGGCCAAUUUCCCGGUAUGAGACUUCUUGACAAAUAGAGUAUGAUCAGCCUGACCUUGUUUGUAGCCCAGCUUCAGGACUGCUUUUGUGAAUCUAUCAAACCAGGCUCGAGGAGAUUGUUUAAGGCCGUACAAGGAUUUUUGGAGUUUGCAAACCUGAUUCUUUGCCAUACUUUCUUCGAAACCAGGUGGUAUUUCCAUGUAGACUUCCUCUUCUAGGUCCCCAUUUAGAAACGCAUUUUUUAUGUCCAGUUGUUGCAAGCACCAAUCUUGAUUGACAGCCAAUGAGAGAAGGAUCCUGAUAGUGUUCAGUUUUGCAACAGGAGCAAAAGUCUCCUGAUAGUCUAUCCCAUAGGAUUGUGUAAACCCUCUAGCUACCAAACGAGCCUUGAAUCUUUCGACUGAUCCAUCUGCUUUGUAUUUUAUGGUGAAAAUCCACUUGCACCCCACAGGCCUCUUCCCAACUGGCAAAUCUGUGAUAGUCUACGUCCCAUUCUUCUCAAGUGCAUCAAUCUCAUCUUGUACUGCCUUCUUCCAUUCUGAAAUUUUUAAUGCCUCUUGUAUUGUGUUGGGAACCUGAGUAUCAUCAAGAGAAGUAACAAAUGCUCUGUAAGAUGGUGAUAACCCUUCAUACGUAACAUAAUUCCCAAUUGGAUGAUCUGUACAUCUCCUAACACCCUUCCUCAAUGCAAUUGGCAAAGUAGAAUCAUCAAUGCUGGGAAUUAACACCUCUCCAGCCCUAUCCUCACCUAUGUUCUCUUCAGGAAGACUUGAAUUGGAGUCAAUAUAUUGGCCACAUGUUGACUGUGAUCCGUGCUCUAAUUCCUGUCUUUUCCUCCUUCUGAUGUAAACUUGUAAGUUCUCAUUAGCAAGUUGUGGGGCUAUAGGUUGAAUAGGCAUGGGAGACUGGAUGGUCACGGGAGAAGGAACAUUUGUGUGCUGGGCUGGCUGAACUGAUGGCGGCAUGGGUGUGGACAACUCAGUGGGCGCGAAUUGGGAAGGAUUUGGUGACUCUGAGUGAAAAGAAGGUACGCCCUCAAGAAAAGACUCCCAAACUUGAUGUUCAUUCAUGCUCUCCCCCUGAACAUGAGAUUUGGGAUAGAAGAAGACAUGUUCAAAGA
rnacentral:lncRNA from 1 species